CUUUGAUAUAUCUACAGCAGUUUCCUUGAGAAAUUUUCCUGAGCAAAACUUACCUGACUGUGACAAUACUACUGUCAACAAUGACCCCAUCUCUCCAGAAGCCACACCCCAGGUACGUUGAAAUUUAUGUAUUUCAUUUUUUUUUAUAUAUAUAUUUACGUCAUUUUAAUUGCCUAUGAGAACUGAAGUUUUGAAGAACACACAGCAAUUGCAAAAGCACUGAACUGUGCACAGUUCAUUGGCCUUGUACUGUUGUGGUCUUUGCUCAUUAUGUAGCUAUUCACUGGUAUACAAUGGUAUCACACAGUAGGUAGUGUACUGUGGGAUUGUAGUCCAUUGCGAUAUCACACAGCAAGUGUUAAAGUGUGGAUUAUGCAUGUCGUUAGUAGAUUUCAUAAUCACUUCUUUUCAUUUUUGUCUUUGGGCAAUGCAUUUAUGUGCACAAUGCUGUUAUAAAUCUGGGAGGUCUUGUGCCUUGUGAGAAAUCAAUUAUUAAAUCUAAAAUGCAUUGUCACUGACUUUAACAGUCCUUUCAGCCUGAGAUUGAGGUGUGGGAAAUACGUGAGAUUGAUACAGUUAAUACCAAGCUUGAAGUGUAAGUUAUAGCUUGCCGAAUAAUGAAGGGUUUGACCUGCAAUAUCUAGCUUCCUCUAUAGACAUUCUGAGUUAAUGGUUUUCAACCUUCUUCAUUAUAAAAUUCUUAAAAUAACCACCAGUACCAGGAAUAUAUCUGGUGUUAUAUUAUAUAACAGUUAAAAUAUACAUAAAAAAAAUUUGUCUAUAGAUCAAAAGGAGAUCAAUAUUAAUUUCAAAAUGUCAGAGAUCAAUGUUUAGAAGAGAUAUUACAGUGAGUUGACUUCUAGAAUGAAACUCUGUAUAAAUGUGUAGAGUAUGUGUAGACUGUGGAGGCACAUGGCUUAGUGGUUAGGGUGUUGAACUCAUGAUCGUAAGGUUGUGGUUUUAAUUCCUGGACCGGGCGACGCAUUGUGUUCUUGAGCAAAACACUUCAUUUUCACGUUGCUCCGGUCCACUCAGCUGGCAAAACUGAGUAAUCUUGCGACGGACCGGCGUCCCAUCCAGGUGGGGAAUUUCUGUGCCACUGAAACCGGAAAACCGGCCCUUAUGAGCUUGGCAUAAGUGGAGACAUAAUGGCUCAGUGGUUAGGGCAGCGGACUCGCGGUCGGAGGAUUGCGGUUUCGAUUCUCAGACCGGGCGUUGUGGGUGUUUAUUGAGUGAAAACACCUAAAAGCUCCACGAGACUCUGGCGGGGGGGGGGGCCCCUGUUGUACUCUUUCGCUACAACUUUCUCUCACUCUUUCUUCCUGUUUUUUGAGUAAUGCUGCGAUGGACUGGCAUCCCAUUUAGCUGGGGGAAACACAUACCCAUAAAAACUGGGAAACCGGGCCCAUGAGCCUGGCUAGGCUUAAAAAGGAUGCAUAAAAAAAAAAAAAAUGUGUAGAGUGGAGGCAGUCUGAGUGAUUGUCAUGACAGGUAUUUGUCAACUGGGAUGGUACUUUUGACUAUUUUUUUAUUCUUUUUGUAAGUUUUGAAGAGUUUGGGAAACACUGCUUUAACCAUUUUGUUACUGUCUAUGCUUUCUUGUUUAAACAGAAACCUCUUAUUUUCAAGAGUCCAUAUUUAACCCUUUAGUAUUUAAACUGGCUAUUUCCGGCCCAAAUACCCUGUUUUAUGUUCAGACCAACAAGAUCCAGUCUCUAAUACCUACUUUAUAAUGUCAUCCUAAAUAUAUACAAUCACAUCAUUGAAAUCUCGACGCUACAAGAUAAUGCAUGAGGUUCUGUACUGUAGAAUCAGGUAGUCUCAGGUAGACUGGUAUCAAAAGAGUUAAAGCAGCUUAUGAACUGACUAGGUGUCAGAGGCAUUUGAGGUGAGGUAUGACGGAGGUGUGGUAGUGGGCAAGAACUGUAUCACAAUUGAAGGUUUGCAAAAUGUUAAGUUCAAAAACUAAGUCUAUCUUGUGUACUUGUGGGCUAAGGGUUGAUGUUAUGGUACCUACUUAUGAUACCGAAGAUGGUUUAGCAUCUGAGAUAAAAUAUGAGCUGUUGAUCUUUUGCUCUUUUAGCCAUCAUCCUUAAGUGUGUGACUCUAUGUUUAAAGAAAUACUGUCAUGUGAUGAAUAUUUAUGAAUUAGCCGUGGAAGUAGAAAUUAGCUUAUAAAUAGUUCAAGACUGAUUGAUAAAUAAAUAAAUAUUUGUCAAGCCUGAUGUAAUGUUCGUCAUGUCACUUUAAUUCAGUUGAAAUGUUAUGAGUUUGUUUUAUAGACUGCCAUAAAAAUAAUAUAUAUUCACUGAUUCAGAACAAAACUGUCUGCCAUCUAAUGUGUCUACAUUGAUAAAAUAACUUGCAUCCACUAACCAAUGAGUGGGUCUCAACUUGCUAGAAAUAGCAGUCAAAUAUCCUUCAUGUUACACCCUGCCAUAGUAAAGUAAAGAAAGAAUACCCUUGAAAAGACAAACUUGUCAUGCCUGGAAUGUUUUUGAUCAUAGGUCUCCUUGGUAAAGCCUGACUUAGGGUUAAACUACAACAACAAUUAAUACCCAUUUUGACACACAUACACACACACACAUGUGGAGGCACAUAAAAAGCACCAUCCGAACAUGGCCGAUGCCAGCGCCGCCUUGGCUGGCUUCCGUGCCGGUGGCACGUUAAAAGCACCAACCAAUCAUGGCCGAUGCCGGACUCCCCUGGCACCUGUGCAGGUGGCACGUAAAAAGCACCCACUACACUCGCGGAGUGGUUGGUGUUAGGAAGGGCAUCCAGCUGUAGAAACACUGCCAGAUCAGACUGGAGCCUGGUGCAGCCCCUGGCUUCCCAGACCCCGGUCGAACCGUCCAACCCGUGCUAGCAUGGAGAAUGGACGUUAAACGAUGAUGGUGAUGAUGAUGAUGAUCCAUAUUGAUGUAAUAUUGUGACAGUAUCUAUUUACAUUCAUGUGAUAUACUAUUUCUGCAUUAGUAUAUUCACUAUGCUUUCUGCUCAUAUUGGCAUAUAUCCUAAGGCACUGAGCUAACAGAAUCAUUUGCACACCGAGGAAUGUGAAGACGCAGGCUGGAAAGCAGAGCAUUUCCCAAUCAAAAUUGGAUGUAGAGGAUUCAUUGAACACAACAUGAGGUGACUUUUGUUAUGGUUAGGCCUAACUCAUCAUAAAGCAAAUACCAUCAUGAGUGAUAUCCAAACUAAAGUGGAAGAAGCAAGCCACUGGAUUUGAUUAAAAAGAGACGAUGAGCAAUGGCUGGAAGAAUUUUGAGCUAAAUCUGAUAACCAGUUGAUCUAGCAGGCAGGGACCAGUGUGCAAUGAUGCCAUUGAGGGGUUGGCUCCAAAAUGGUACGCAUUCUCUCCUGAUGACCCUACAAACUUGCUGGCAUCCAGUAUUCUACGAUUUCAACUGGUAGCACUUGCACCUGCAAGUUGUUUGCAAAGCAUCUAGUUUGUUUAACAUUCUGAGUUCAAAUUCCACUGAGGUCGACUUCGCCUUUCAUUCUUUUGGGGUCAGUGAAAUAAGUUUCAGUUGAGCACUGGGGUCGAUGUAAUCAACUUACCUCAUCUCCUGAAAUUUUUGGCCUUGUGCCAAAAUUUGAAACCAUAUAAUCAUAUAUUCUCUGUUCGCAUUGAGAUGCUCUCUGUCCUUAUGGAGACCUAUGCACUCAGCAUAGAACAUAGUGUGUGCAAUGCCUGUCUUCAGUCAGACACCAGACAUAUAACCAAAAUAAUUCCAUUGAAUCAUUGGCACACACAGUUGCUGUUGUCGUUGUUUAAUGAAUAUUGAUAUCCUACAUUAACUGUUGAAUGGUGUAUGCUAUUACUAUCAAAUACUGUCUGUUGAUUCAGGCACAGCCAUAUCACACACACACACACACACACACACCUAACUGUAGACUGGUAGAUCUGUGGAAAUAUCACUCGAUAUUUGUCGGUUGCUGCAUAGUGAUAUCAUAUAAACACCAUUAAUUGGUAUUUAUUUAUUAUCACACACACCAUCUAUUGAUUAAUUUAAUAUUGAUACCAAUUUGAUGGCCUUGCGUCAAUGUCAGAAAUCAAUAUUGAUAUCACAUAGUACCUGUUGAUUGGAUUUUUUUCCAAUAUCUAUCACACUGCUGAGUUUUUACCAAUAUCUGUCCUCCUACUAUUCAUUCUACUGUUACAAGUAUGGAACUAACAAGCCAUGUGACACCUGUGUCCAAUCUAACUCUCCUUCCCUUAUUAUCUGUCAUGUGACUCAACCUCCAAGACCUUAUAUUAAGAGCGUUUAAUCCAGUCAUUCUCUCUCCCCCACCCCAGAAAGGAAACCUUCAGAAGCCCCCCCCUUCCCUCGCCACAUUUUCCAACCUGUAAAUAUUGAAGCUAAACAUCAUCUAUAUCGACCUUUCUGUCACAAUCUAUAAUGGAGUUGCAAAGGCAAGGAAUGCUGCCCCUUCUUCAUCAUCUCAUCCCAGCCCUCUUCGUCAGUGUAAAUAUAAAGAUUAGUUGUUAAUCAAUCUGUAAAGAGUAACGACUUUGAUGAACACAGGGCUGUAUUUAACUACACACAUGCACACACAUACACACAUUAGCAUGUACACACAUACACACACACAUACACUUGUCAAACACGACAAAUUAUUGAAGUACUUGUGCUGUUCUCACCAGCUUCAACAUUAUAUAUAUAUAUACAUAUCCAUACAUACAUACACACACACACACACACACACACACAUACACACAUAUAUACACACACAUACAUAUACUACUUACUGUGUGUGUAUGCAUGUGUCUCUGUGUAUGUAUUUGUGUGUGUUAGUUUGUGCUGUAGAGUUUAAGGAGCAAUUAGUAACCAAAUAAGAAUUUAGAUGAUAGUUCAUCACUUCCUUUCACACCUGCUAACACACACACAGUUGCUAUGGAAGUUAGUGUGAGAGAAACUGGAGUAAGUGGCUUCAGUGUUAAGUGGCCACAAUGACCCACUUCUAACUCAUCUUAGGAAAAAAUCUUCUCAAGAAUACUUUCAGUAUGGUUCAUGCUUGACCCUUCUUCAACAUAUUGUUAUCUCUCCGAAGUUGUGCCACUCUUCUACUGUGUCAGGAAUAGUAUUAUUAUUAAGUAAGAGAGCGAUGCAUGCCUUCAAAGUGACACUGGGGUACAAGUAUAUGAAGCCCAGUAUACCCAUCAUGACUACCUGGGGAAUUACAACCGUGUUUCAUGGUCUGCUAUCACAACAGCUCCUUUAUAGGAUCCAGUUAGCUCAAGACAUCAUCAGGAGGAACCACAUCCGGUUUUGGCCCCUACUCCUCUACCGUUUUGACGUGGCGGGGCCCCCCUUUCAGAGGUGUCUUCAGCUCUGGUGUUGGGUGCAUGUCUUCUUUCUUCUGUUCCCUGGCCUCUUCGAUGUAUCGUCAGCGAGUGUCAGCCGGUGACUGACUGUCUUGUCAAAUUUCUCCCCAGGUACAUGCAUCACAACCCAUAUAUGCGUGACAUGGCAGAAUUGUUAACAUGCCAGGCAAAAUGCUUAGUGGCAUUUUGUCUAUCUUUCCAAUCUGAGUUCAAAUUUCACCAAGGUCAGCUUUGCCUUUCAUUCUUUUGGGGGUCGAUAUAAUUGACUAUCCUCUCCCCCAAACCUGCUGGCCUUGUGCCAAAAUUUGAAACCAUUAUCAUUAUUAAGAAGUUGGCCAGCUAACAGAACCAUUUGCAUUCAGACAAAAUGCUUGACAGUGUUUCAUCUAGCUUCAUCUUCUGAGUUCAAAUUCCACCAAGGUUGACUUUGCCGUUCAUCUUUUCAGAGUUGAUGAAAUAAGUAUCAGGCUCUGGGAUCAAAGUAAUUGAACUAGCACCCUCUCCUACAAUUUCAGGUCAUGUGCCUAUAGUAGAAAGAAUUAUUAUUAUUAUUAUCAUUAUUAUUAUUUGGUUUGGAUCAGGUUCUGUCUUAUUUCUGGUAGGAAUUAUGUGGGUAGCAGGUUACUACCAGUAACCUUAAGUAUCCACAGGUUUUCAGCAGUCUUUCAAGUACUUAGAAGCAGGAUUUAUUAUCAUUGUUAUUAUUAUCAUUAUCAUCAUCAUCAUCAUCAUCAUUAUUAUUAUUAUUAUUAUUAUUAUUAAGGUAAUGAGCUGGCAGAAUCGUUAGCAUGCCAGGCAAAAUGCUUUAUGGCAUUUUGUCUGUCUUUAUGUUCUAAGUUCAAAUUCCACCAAGGUUGACUUUGCCUUUCAUCCUUUCACAGGUCAAUAAACUAAGUACCAGUGAAACACUGGGGUUGAUAUAAUCGACUAGUCCCCCCAUAAUACAAAAUUUCAGGACUUGUGCCUUUAGUAGAAAGGAUUAUUAUUAUUAUUAUUAUUAUUAUUAUUAUUAUCAUUAUUAUUAUUGUUAGUAUUAAGUUGGUAAGCUGGCAGAAUUGUUUCUGUGUUGGACAAAAUGCUUAGCAACAUUUCUUCUGGCUUUACAUUCUGAGUUUGCAUUCCACCAAGGUCGAUUUUAUCCUCUUGGGAUAAAUAAAAUAAAUACCAUUUGGGCUCUAGGGUUCAUGUUAUCCGCUAGCGUCUUCCCCCAAGAUUUCAGGCCAUGUUCCUACAGAAGAAAGGACUAGCACCACCACCACCACCACCACCACCACUACUACUACUACUAGCUCAAUACAUUUCACUUCACUGACAGCAAGAUGGCGAAAUUUCAAAUUUAAAUUGUUUGUUUAUUUAAAAUGCUGUGUUGAUAUAAAAUAUAUUCAGUUUAAAUACAAAGCAUCUUUGAAAGAAUUAGAAAGUCAUUAACUUUACCUCUAUUUUCAUUUUCAGAAAAAAAAUAUAUUUCUUUAAUUGGGUAAAUUACUAAAAUUUAGAUGGUCAUCUUCAGUGAAGGCCUAAUAAAAAUUUUUUUAAAAUUUAAAGUGUUUAUUGUAGAAAUAUUUUCUUUCAUAUUGUAUAAACUCAAUAGAUUGUCAUCAUCAUCAUCCUCAUCAUCAUGAUUUAAAAUCCACUUCUUUUCAUGCUUGCAUGGGUUAGAAGGAAUUUGAUGAAGCAAAUUUCAACAGCUGGAUGUCGUUCCUGUCCUCAACCAUCACCUGUUUCUAAGCAAGUUAAUAUUUUCCCCAUGGCUAGACAUGUUUUUCAUGGAUGAGUAGAAAUGAACAACCUGACUUGUGCGAUGAUGAUGUUCAUUUACAACCAUCACAUGAUGUCUAGACAAGGGUACACACAAACACAUACGCACAUACAUGUACACACACGCGCGCGUGUGACAGGUUUCUUUCAGUUUCCAUCUAUGAAAUCCAUUUACAAGGCUUUGGCCAACCCAGGGCUAUAGUAAGUCACUUGCCCAAGGUACCAUGCAGUGGAACUGAACCCACGACCAUGUGGUUGGGAAGCAAGUCUCCUAACUACACAGCCAUGUUUGUGCCUACAAACUUAGUCUAUACAGUGUACAAUAUUUACAUUCACUUUGAUGACUUCUCCAUAAGCACCUUUCCUAGUCAAGAUUCUGUUUUCAUCAUUAUCCUUGGCUGCUAUUUCUAGCCAGUUGAAUAACUACAUAAAAGCAGCCACAUUUAUGAAUACUUGUGUGUAUAUUAGUAAUAUUUAUGAAAGACAUGAAUGUCAAAGGGAAUUUUCUUUUAUAAUAAUUUGGUUUACAAUAUUGGUGUCACACUUCAGUGAAAUAUAUUGGCUAAGCUUCCUCAUGCAUAAACAAAAUGGUAAAAGAAGUUUCAAAUUUCACAAUUGCUUUUACUUAUAAAUGUACAAGUGGAAAAUAAUAUACAAAUAGCAGAAUUAACUAAUUUACUGACCGGUUUUUCUAAAACAGUUUACCCAUAAGUAGUUUCAUGUGGUAGAAUGAACUACGGCCUAUACUAUAAUGGAGAAAGCUGCUUAUCAAUUAGUCAUGAGUGUGAAAAUUUUACUGAAAAAAAUACAAUUAAAGUCUACAUUCUCUAGAAAAUUCUUAUAAGUUACAAUUUUAACAUUUUUUUAUAACCCAUGCUAGCAUGGAGAAUGGACGUUAAACGAUGAUGAUGAUGAUGAUUAUUACUCAAGAUUUUAGCUUAAUGAUUCAAUCACAAAUCUAAUUUUUAUUCACUGUAACACAGUCAUCUAAACUACAUAACUAUAGAUGAGUGCCCCUCUGACUUUGUUUCCUCAUACUUUUGAAAAAUGUAUAUAUCUAUAUACAAGGUGGUAUCAAAAAGUUCCCAAACGAGUUCUGUAGUAUGCCAACAAAUGGCAGCACAUGAUUACAUAUGCAGUGAGAGCUAGUAGUGACCUUCAUGAAGCACUGUACCAAGUGACAUCGCUGUGCCUACUUUACAAGUUGUAAAAUUUGUGUUUUUGUGAUCACAUGUAUGCUGUAGUCUGUGAUUUUUGUCAUGGACAGGAAGUUGGAACAAAGAGCCAACAUGAAAUUUUGUGUUAAACUUGGUAAAUCUGCUACAGAGACAUCGAGCAUUCUCGGCAAGCUUAUGGUGACAAGGCAAUGGGUCAUACAUAAUGUUUCAAGUGGCACAGGCACUUCAAAAGCAGAAGAGCAUCCCUGAAAAGACAAUGAGUGAUCUGGAAGAUCUGCCAUGAGAAUCACCUCUGAAAGUGUGGUGAAAAUUCAUCGGUUUGUGCAUGAGGAUUGUCGGAGGAUAAUCAAUGACAUUGCUGAUGUUGUUGGUCUGUUGUAUGGGUCUGUGCAGGCAAUCUUAACAUCUGAAUUGAACAGCAUGUCUCUGCCAAGUUUGUCCCCCCACCUGUUGACCACUGAGCAGAAAAAACAUCAUAUCAAAUUCUGUCUCUGCUAAUGAUCCAUUCUUCAUGUCGAGGAUCAUCACUGGUGAUGAGAGUUGAGUCUAUGAGACAAAGCAGCAGUCGUCACAAUGGAAGAGGCCUUCAUCUCCAUGACUGAAGAAGGCACAACAGAGCCGUAGAUAUCAAGAGCAUGCUCAUCUUCUUUAUUGACACACACAGUAUUGUGCAUCAGGAAUUCGUCGACCGGGGCCACACCCUCAAUUAAGAGUUCUGCUGUGACAUUUUGAAGUGUUUGAGGGAGGACAUUCAGUAAAAGCAACAAGAGAUCUGUGGAGCUUGAAGAAUAGGAUUCUUCACAAUGAUAAUGCAUUCUGUUACCAAACUCUCCUCAUUCAUGAGAUGUAGCACCUGCAGACGUCCAUCUCUUCCUCAAGAUGAAAAUGCAGUUCAAAGGUCGCUUUUUUAACUCUGUUGUUGAAGUCCAGAGUGAAUCGCAGAAGGUCCUCGACUUGCUUACAGAACAUGACUUCCAGGCUAGAUUCCAAAAGUGACAGGAUUGCUGGGACUGGUGGGACUGCUGCACAAGGUGACUAUUUCGAAGGAGAUGAUGUUAAAACUUUGGUAAAUAAGUAGUUUUUUAUUAAACAUAACAAGUCCAGGAACUUUUUCAUACCAUCUUGUAUAAUCAACUAUAACCCUGAUGGUACUGAUCUAGCACGACAAUAGUGCAAUAGGUCAGACCAGCAGUAAAAUAAAGAUCAUAAAAAUUGGUCAUGUAUAUAUUACCAGCCUGGACUUCAAUUGGUCAAUGACUCCAGGAAAAAAGAUGGACCUUGAAGGAAGCAGAGCUGCAAAAUGGUGAAAUCUGCUGAGAACAUUUAAGGUGUAUCAAUUGGUUGUGUUACAACCAAAGAUAUGUUUAGCCUGCAACCACAAAAUUUGCUUCUCAGCUCAUUUGUUUAACACAGUGGUUCCCAAAGUGGGUGAUAUUGCCCUCUGGGGGCACUGGAAAUUUCCAAGAGGGGUGUUGAAGAAAAGUGGGGCGAUAAUGGGAUAGCAAUUCCUGUAAAAGUGGGGUGAUAAUGGGCUAGCGACUCAUGUAAAAACAAUAGAAUAAUGGGUUCAUUAAGUUAAUUUUUUUUUAUUUGUGAAAUACAGUUGCUUUGAAUUUGCUUCAGAAGGAGGUCUGUGUUAGUGAUGGUUGGUGGGGGCACUAGGAAUGUGGCCUGGGUCAAGGAAGUGGCAGCCUGUAAAAGUUUGGGAACCACUGGUUUAAGAUAUCUAAAACUAAGAUGGCAGGCUGCUCCUUUUAUGGUCCCCCAUGUAGAUCUAAGCUGAUUUGGUCUGGUCAGUCUUGGUGUGAGAUAAAUGAGUCAGCAUCUUUCACUUAAACUGCUAAUAUUACUCGGCAGUUGGAGGUCUUUUGGUGGCAGAAGAAAUGUCAUCUUAAUUGCUACUUUUUGCUUUCAAGUUCACACAGAAUCUGUCCUUUCUAGUUAAGUAGCGAUUGAAAAGAGUCCUUAAUAGCUACUGUUGCAUAUACCCCUCCCUCUGUUCACACACAUCCAUUUAAAGAUACAUACACACACUCACACAUACUAAUGCACAGAUAAAUGCACACACACACACACAUACACACACACACACACGCACACACACACACUCACACUCACACAUGCAUGCGUACUCAAUUUAAAAAGGUGUUUUAAGUUCAUGAGAAAAUUCACGAGAAUGCUUUCAUUUUUUUAAGUGUCACUCAUCUUCUUUCCAAAAGUGAGUGUAAGAUUGUGUUUAUGUAUGUAUAUACAUGUACACAUUUUAUACACAUACAUAUACAUACACACAUAAUUCACACACACACAAACACAUCAUAUACACAUGUCUGUAUUACAAUAGCUUGAAGUAUGCAGUACAAAAGAAGUUUAAAGAUAACGUGUGUAAUGAUGAUGAUGAUGAUAUUGAUGAUGAUGAUGAUGAUGAUGAUGAUGAUGGUGAUGAUGAUGCUAAUAAAUCACAAUAUUAUAAAACAGAUGAAAGAGAAUAAAUAAAGGAAAUAAUAGAAGUAGAAACAAUCAAGAAUAAGAUUGUAUCUCACAUGUAUUGUUGCUACUAUCAUCAUUUUUUUAAAGGCUAUUAAAAUUAAUCAUACACUUUGUGUGUGCGUGUGUGUGUGUGUGCGUGUGUGUGAUAUAUGUCUAUAAUAUGAGUAUGUGUUUCUAUACAUUCACACACAUAUAUAGACAUGUGUGUAUGUGUAUAUAUAUAAUGUUUCAUUUGGUUUUGAGAAAAUUUUAUCAGAAGCAUUGUGAGAAUAAAAAAAUGUGAGUCAAAGAGUCAACAAUGCAUAUUUUUAUUCUGUUUUUGGAAUACUGGAACUUGAAGUAGAUGAAGCUAUAACACUUGCUGUAGUAUGUAAAUAUUGGGUUAAAAAAAAACUCUUUGGGUUGAAAAAGUUAAAGGCUACCUGUGAAACUUGAACCUACAUCUUCUGUAAGCACAACAAAUGUGCUACUUUUGGACCAAAGAACUCCUUCAAAUUUCUCUAUUCAUUUUAGAAUAUUUAUUCUUACCAGCAAGAAUUGUUGUUGUUGAUAUCAUAAGAAUUUCUAAACUUCAAGAGAAUGUGAAAAUAAUUCUUUUUUGAAACGGUGAAACUUGAAGUAGACAAAGCUAUAAAUUCUUUUAAAUUACACUCUGCCAUCUUACAAAAAUCACAAAAAGGAAAGACAUUGAAUAUUAUAAUUCUAAAUGUGCACCGUGCUUGGGAAGGGAACGAGAUGGUCACAGCUGUUUGUUCUAUUAGUGUUGACCUCAAGCUGAAGAGCAACUGGCCACAAGAAAUAGGCUGGUUCAGGAGAGAGUUAUUAACAUACUGUGAUUAUUUUAUGUGAUAACUUUUGGGAGUGGGUCUAAAGAGUAGGUCGACACACUGACAUCUGUUUUUGAUGUGGUUACAGAGUGGGAUAUAAUUACUUGAAUUACUAUUUAAGAUGUUUAAGCCAUAUGUUAAACCAUAUUCAGUCGUUUUAUGUCCACUUUUUCAUGCUAGCAUGGUUAGACAAGGGAUUAUUUGAGGUAGAAUUCUAUGACCAGAUGUUCUUCCAGUCAACUACCCCUGUUUUCAGAGAUUUCUUUUUUUUAUUGCAGAGGUGUUAUUUCACAUAUCAACAUUUCAUGCACAGACACACACACACUCAUACACACACACACACACACACACACACACACACACACACACACACACACACACACACGUUUAUAUGGAAUGUCUGCUGGAAGAAGUUCAUGGAAUGUAUUUCUUUUCUCUUCAUAGAGCAUUAAUGGUUUGGAAAUCAAGAAAGAAGUAAGGUCUUAGUGUUUACAUGCUGUUUCCAGCGUAAUACCUACACAAUGCAUGAGAAUACAUACAAAUCUAUACAAACAACUCUAUACAUACAUACAUACAUACAUACAUAGAAAAAUACCCUGUUGCUGAUGUUGAAAUUCCAAUGAAGGAACCUUGGAUCUAGGUUAGAAACCGGUUCUUUCUCUAUUGGCAAGAAAUCUUGAAAUAAACUAAAUAAUGAUAUACAUACAUACAUACAUACAUACACACACACACACACACACACACACACACACACACACACACAUACAUACAUACAUUUAGGGUUUCUGACAUUUUUCACUUGCAAGAUCCAUGAUUCUUCCACGAGGUACUGUGGUUCGCUCAAAAACAUAGCAGAUAUUUAUCCAAGGUGUCAUGCAAUAGAACUGAACCCUAAACCACAGUUGCAAACUGAACAUCUUAGCCACACAGCCAUACCUGUACCUAUACAUGCUAUGUUUGUGUCUUUACAUGCCAUUCUUGUAUGCAUAAGGCUGUAGGAAUUUGUAUAGUAUUUCUGUAAUAAAAUCUAAGGAAUAGGAUUAAGGUGAGAAGACGUCAUAAGAGUGCAUAAUUUUCAAAACUUUUCUUUCAGGCUUUCUGCAUAACAUCUGAAGAUUGUUUGCUUUCAUAUGUAUAAAUCGUAUAGCGAUUUUAUUGAACCUUUAUAAAAUCAAAGUAUAAUGUUUAUAUUUAUGAGUGGCAUAAACAUUUUAUUGAAAUUUUAAUGAAUCCCCAAGUGGAGCUGAUAUUUAAACAUAAAUCUUCUUUUUAUCUAUGAAAUAUUAUUUUAUAAUUUCAUCAUUUUUGGUUCUUAAGCUAUAUAUCGAGUUCAAAUUUCAAAUAAAAUCUGCAAAGGUAAAUUGGUUAAACAAAAAAAAAAAAGGGAAUAUUUACAAAAGAUGAAAAUAUGGAAAAUAUCUACUUCAAAAAUUAUUUAUUCUGAUAAUCAUGUAAUUUUUUUUUUCAAAUGAAAUAUAUUUACUUAAAGAGAAAAAUCAAGAGAAAGAAAGAGAGAGAUUUGAUGUUGAUGCAUUAACACUAUUAAUUGGGUUUUUUAGGUGUUAAAUUUUUCCAACACUUUGAAAUAAAAUUGGUUCCUAUACAUACACACACACACACACAUUUAAACAAACACAUACAUAUAUACAUAAGAAACAAUAUUUUUUAUGCAUGGCAUGGGAGUGUAUAUGUGAGUGUGUGUGUAUAUAUAUAUUUAUAUAUAUAUAUAUAUGUUUAUAUGUAUGUAUAUAUACAUGUAUGUAUAUAUAUAUGUAUGUAUAUAUACAUAUAUGUAUAUAUAUAUAUACAUACAUAUAUAUAUAUAUAUAUAUAUAUAUACAUACAUACAUAUAUAUAUAUAUAUAUAUAUAUAUAUAUAUAUAUAUAUGUAUGUAUGUAUGUAUGUAUAAAUGCAUGCAUAUAUUCACAAACCCAUAUAACCUCAUCAUUACAUCAUGACCACUACCAUCAUCUUUGUAACGUCCACUUGUUCAUGCUUCCAAUGGUGGGACUUAAAUUUGAUAUCCAUUUUACUGUAGCUACGUUUAGGGCACCCAUGCUGGAAGGUUUUGUCAGUCAUACUAACCCCGGUGCAUAUUUUGAGGUCUUGUAGCUAUCUUAUUAAUCUCUAGCUACAAAACCUCUAAGUUAAGGAGCAGUAACCAAGAGCACCAUUCUCUGUGUUGUAAAUGUAAUGACACACAUGCACACAUACAUAUACACAAAUGUACAUGCAUAAAUGUGAGUAUACAUUGUGCAUACAUAGGUGCAGGUGUGGCUGUGUGCUAAAAAGUUUACUUUCCAGCCAUGUGGUUCCAGGCUCAGUCCCACUGCAUGGCGCCUUGGGCAAGUGUCCUCUACUUUAGCCUCAAGUCGACCAAACCCUUGUUAAUGAUUUGGUAGACAGAAACUGAAAGGUACCUAUCAUAUAUAUAUAUAUAUAUCUAUGUGUGUGUGUAUCUUUGUAUAUAUGUUUGUCCUCCGACACAGUUUGAUAACUGGUGUUGAUGUGUAUAUGUCCCCGUAACUUAGCAGUUUGGCAAAUGAGACCAAUAAAGUACAAGGCUUUAAAAAAAAAUGAGUCCUAGAGUUGAUUCAUUUGAUUAAAAUUUCUACAAGGCAGUGCCCCGGCAUCACUGCAGUCCAAUGACUGAAACGAGUAAAAGAUAAAAGAUAGGUAAAUACAUACAUAGAUACAUAGGUAUGUAUACGUGUAUAUCUAUAGAUAAACAGACACAAACAUGGCAGUGCGGUUAUAACGUUUGCUUAGUGACUACAAAUUUUUUUAUUCCUUCACAUUGCAUAGCACCAUGGGUAAGUGUCUUUUACUUUUGCUUUGGAUUAACCAAUGCCCUAUGAAUUAAGUUGCUAGAUAGAAACUGUAAAGAAGCCUGUCAUCUAUUGCACUCACACACACACACACACACAUAUAUAUAUAUAUAUUGGCACAGGCAUUGCUAUGUGGUAGAAAGUUUGCUUCCUAAUCAUGUGAUUCUGGGUUCAGUUCCACUGCGUUGAACAUUGGGCAAGUGUCUUCUACAAAGCCCUCGGCCACAGAGACAACAAUACCAACAGUUAUGACGGCAGCAGCAAGACCAACAUUACGGCUGGAAAUGGUUGCUAAGCAAGCAACAACAGAACCAUUAGAAUCACAUCCAGGAAUAUGUUCAUACCAGCAGCAACAACACCAACAACAAGACAUCGGACCUGGAAUUAACAAAAGAAACAUCAGUGGUGGUAUCAUAUCCAAUACACAGACAUGAAAAUAUAUCAAUUAGCUCAUCCACACUCCCGUUUAAGCAAUGCCUGAAUAACCACAAGUCCUCUUUUACGAUACCAGAAAGGUGCAACGUUACAUUUCUGGCCAGCCGUGUAUGGCACUUAAAAGAGGAAGGAAUUUCAUACAUAAUUAAAUGGAAGCUCCUUGAACAACUGAAGACUUUUAUAAAUGAGAGCAAUCAAUGAGAAUGUAAGAAUCCCCCUCCUCAUUCUUGAAUGAUACUUUAUUUUAUUGACCCUGGAGGAAUGAAAAGUAAAGCUGCCCAUGGUGGGAUUUGAACUCAGUAUUUAAAGAUCUUGAACAAAUACCACAAAGUAUGUUUUCCAAUGCUGUAUCGAUUCAGCCAAGUGACCAUCCUCACCUGUGUUUAAUAAUAUUUACUUCAGUAAUAUAUUGGCUCAUUGGAAUACAUCUCACUUCUUCAUCUUCAUGUAAUGAUACACUGCAAAAUAUUUCUUGAUUAUGUGAGUUCAUGGCUGUUUCCUGCACCAGCUUCACAUAACAGCCCCAGCCCAUCCAAAGUACCUUGGAUCGUAGGACAGCCUGCUGUGCUUACCUUGGAUCGUAGGGUGACCAGCUGUACUUGAGGAGACCUAUUGAGUCAAGUAUAUCAACAUCAAAAUAAAAAUCAAAUGGAAAUUGUAGUUGUGAUACCCGUGCUGGUGGCACGUAAAUAGCACCAUCCGAACAUGGCUGAUGCCAGCGCCGCCUUGACUGGCUUCCGUGCUGGUGGCAUGUAAAAAGCACCAACCGAUCGUGUCCAUUGCCAGCCUCCCCUGGCACCUGUGCCGGUGGCAUGUAAAAAGCACCCACUACACUCAUGGAGUGGUUGGUGUUAGGAAGGGCAUAUAGCUGUAGAAACACUGCCAGAUCUGACUCCAGCCUGGUGCAGCUUCCUGGCUUCCCAGACCCCGGUCGAAAUGUCCAACUCAUGCUAGCAUGGAAAACAGACGUUAAACGAUGAUGAUGAUGAUGAUGAUGUAGUUUUUGUGUAAUCUUCUACUGACACAUUGGAGAAUUUGAACUCAAAACUACAAGCUAAUGAAAGACUUAAUAAUUAUACUCUGUAUUCCCUGUGAGAUGUUGUUGUUAUUCAGCUCUACUCAAGCAUUCAUGCUGUGACCAAAUUGUCUUUUGUUUUCAGGCACAGUGUAUGUAGGACCACAUAAUCCUAUGUCUUUCCCAUUUUAAGAUAGAAGGAUGUGGUUUGAGGAAGAAGAGCUGGCUGUUAUUUCUUGCAGGUUCAAAUGACUGUGUAGAACAGGGGUGGGCAAACUACGGCCCGCGGGCCGCAUGCGGCCCGCCAUAGGUUUUCAUGCGGCCCGCCGAGAGCUUUUAUGAAUCCCAACUUCUAUGCAGAUACUUCGUAACUGUUUCAGUUGUACGGUAAUUCACAAUAGUUUGCAUUUUAUUUCAGUUCACUGUUUCGCGCCUUCACAAAAUUGUCCGCUGUUUGUUUGUUUCAGCUACUGUGAAGCGAUGAAAAAUUUCGAGAAAUACGUUUCCGGGUGAAGAUAUGGUUGUCCAUAAUAUUAAGACGUGGUUGUCCACAAUUAGUGCAGAUUUUACUAGGAAAAUUCCGUUCCUGGCAAUUUGUAAGCAAUAACAGGCUGUCCAAAAUAACUAUAGGAGCAAAUAACCGAAAAACAUGAACCCGAUACUCUAAAAAUAAAUUAAAUCACUUAAACCAGGAAUAUUUCACAAAAUUUCCUUUCAAUCAAUUGUGUGUUUAUAGGUCUAUAACCGCCUUUAAAAAUAUUUUCACUUGAUUUUUAUAAAUGAGGCCCGCCAAGGUUCCAAAGACGCACUGUGCGGCCCGCGAUCAAAAAAGUUCGCCCACCCCUGGUGUAGAACCUCUGUCGUUGUGCCUACAAGUGGUACCUGUUUAUGAGCAGAAGCAACAAAGCCAGCAGAAAAAAAAAAAUAGUGGUUUUGCAAUAAUCAUAAAAAAGCAUCAAUGAUAGGAUGUGAACUGUUGUCUCUUUGACUGGCAGGUCGACAAUGUACACAGUCAGCAAUGGUUCUCUGCAAACAUACCUGCUUUCCAAAAGUACCAACAUUUCCAAAAACUACCCAGCCAUGAUAGUUCGGGUAAAUUGGAUGGGAGAAGAAAUAAAAUCCAAUGUUCUGAGAAAUUAGUUUGUGUGUGUAUUCCACAGAGAUGACAGAUACAUUCCAUUUUGCACACAGUAAAAUAUUCCUUGAACAUUAGAUAGCUCUAUCACCCAAGAAGGAAAUAAAAAGAUUGCUUGAGAAAAUAAAUUCUCGUAUGGCCAAUGAGUCUGACAGUAUUUCUGCUUGAUAUCUAAUGAAAUUACAGGACAAAUUGUCUCUUAGCUAGACGUUGAUCUUCAGACCAUAUUUCUCCGUCUGAUGGCUGGAAACUAGCAAUAAUCUAUCAGUGGGAGACGAGCGAAACUAGAUAAAUACAAAGAUAAAAAGUUAUAGACAAAUAUUGCUGACAGCUGUGGUUUUUAAGAAUAUUGGUAUGACUAAUCUGCAGCGAUAUUAUAUAGUGUGUUUAUAUGCAUUCUUGGUCAACUGAUAGCCAUUGUUGAUUCAGUAAAAUGGCGAUUCUGUGAGACAUCUUCAUGGUCAGUCUGGCAUAAUCAAUGAAUCAUAAAGAGCAGAUAGAUUCCAAUGUUUCUUGGAAUUCUUCAAAGCAUUUGGUAAAGUUAACCAUCAGAAACUAUGUCUGAAAGUGAAGAGGUAUGGGAUUUGGAUAGACUUCAUUCUAUCAAACUGUGGACAAAAUGCUAUUAUUAGAGGACAUGUUAGCAAACUGCAUUAUAUUUUAUAGUCUGAGGCAGGAGUCCCCCACCACCAAGCCAUGGACUGUUUCGUACCAGACCACACAGAAAGAACAAUUACUCUUUUACUCUUUUUCUUUUUACUUGUUUCAGUCAUUUGACUGUGGCCAUGCUGGAGCACUGCCUUUAAAUUUUAUUUCUAUUUUAUUGACUAUUGCAGUUUGCAGGAUGAUUUUACAUUAUAUAUAUCUUUUAUCUUUUGCUUUUAAACCUUUUUCAGUCAAGUGACUGCAGCCAUGCUGGAGCACCAUCUUGAAGGGUUUUUGUCAAACAAAUCUACCCUAGAACUUACUUUUUAAACCUGGUACUUAUUCUUUCAGUCUCUUUUGCUGUUUACAAGGACAUAAGCACACCAACACCUGUUGUUAAGCGGUGCUGAGAGUCAAACACAGACACAAAGACAGACACAUACAUGCAUAUAUAUUGGAUUGUUCCAUAAAUAAUGCGGAAAAUUUUAGGAAAAUAAAAAUAAGAAAAAAGUGGAAAUUUUAUCAGUUAGAUUAUACGGCACAAAAAGAAAAUGACUCUCCCCAGACACAAGAUAAACAAGGUUCUUUUUUAAUCUAAAAUAUGCUCUCCUUCAUUUUCUACAAUGCUCUUCCAUCUGUCUGGUAGACUUGCAAGGCCCCUCUUCCAAAAUUUGCUUGUCUGUGAUGAAAAAUACUCCUCCAGUAUUGUUCUGACCUCGUCUACAGAAUUCAUAUUUUUUUUCCAUUCAAAUAAUUUUGAAGACUACAGAAUGAAUGAUAAUCGGAUGGGGCAAUGUCUGGCGAAUAUUGUGGGUGGAGCAUCGUUUCCCAUUCAAGCUCCUCCAGCCAUUAGAAUGUCAUCCCUGCUGUAUGUAGCCGAGCAUUAUCCUGAAGGAAGAACACCUUUUGUCUUGAAACCAAAGAUGGUCAUUUUACUUCUGGCACUGACUUGAAAAGCUGGUUGAAGGACCAAAUCCAAGCUUCUCUGCUAGUUCCUCAACAGUUAUGAUGAGAUUUUGUUCCACCAAGGUUUGCAGAAUGUCCUCAUUGAGCUCUACAGAUCACCCAGGAUGAGGCUUGUCUUCUAAGCUGUAGUUUCCAGCUCGGAAUUUCUGGAACCACUGUUGACACUACCCUACACUUAUUGUCUGAUCCCCAUAUGCUGCAUUAAUAUCCCUCACACUUUCCUUUGCGUUAUUGCCUUUAUUGAAUUCAUAAAGCAAAAUAUGCUGAAUAUGCUUCUUUGUCACUUCCGUUAUAGCUUUGAGAAAAUAAUUGUUAAAAUCAAACUGCACUCUUCAAAACUUACACUAAGAAUAAGGACAAGGUAAAAUUACUACUUGCUUUUAUAACAAGUUGAUGCAGAUGGUUUAUCCCGUCCCCCUCUCCAACUUUUAGUUCAUGCAAUUGAUAAAACCACAUUAUUUAUGGGAUGACCCAAUACGUAUAUACACGACAGGCUUCUUUCAGUUUCUGUCUACCAAAUCCACUCACAAGGCUUUGGUCGGUCCGAGGCUAUAGUAGAAGAUACUUGCCCAAGGUGCCACACAGUGGGACUGAAUGAGGAAUCAUGUGGUUGGGAAGAAAGCUUCUUACUACACAAGCAUGCCUGUACUUAUAAUGUAUAUGUUUUAUAUAUGAAGUAAUUAAAUUUAUAUUAUGCACUUUAUUGUGUUUUGUUAUGUGUGUGAUCCUUUGGUCUUUGGAAAAACUGUUCUGCUUGGAACCAGUCCAUGGCGCAAAAAAGUUUGAGAACUCCUGGUCUAAGGAACCACUAUUCAACUUCACAUUUUUACUGUGCCUAAAUAACAUAUGUAAAUCCAUUACUUCUACUUUUGGUCUCUUUUUAAUCUUUUGCUCUCAGAAUAAUUCUAAAAGAUUAUUCAAGGUUAUAAGAAUACCUCAGUCAUUUUUUUUAUAUUGAUAAAAAAAAAAAAAAAUUAGCUAAUGGAGUUUUAAAACUGAGACAAAUGUCAAACGUUGAGUCCAGUCACCAAAGAUGAAUCAAUUUGCACAGCAGUAUUUGUGUUUUGUAUUCCUCUCCUGUUUCAAAAGUGUUUACCAAGCAAUAUACUUUGGUAUCCAUCCACUCUCCAUUCCAGUCUUAGCUGGAAGCUUCACAUUAUCUGGAUCACCAAGAGAGAUAUAAAAACCGUGUGCAAAGUUACCUACAGAGAAUUCUCGUUGAGUGCUCCAGCUACAGCUAAUCAACUCUUACAAAGCCAUAAAAUAUAUUUUUGAUCAGUAGAUUAAUAUACAUACAUGCACGCACACAUACAUACAUACAUACAUACACACAUACAUACAUACAUACACACAUAUAUACAUACAUACAUACAUACAUGCAUACAUACAUACAUACACAUACAUACACACAUACAUACAUACAUAUAUAUAUACAUACAUACAUACAUACAUACAUACACACACACACACAUACAUACAUACAUACAUGCAUGCAUGCAUACAUACAUACAUACACAUACAUACACACAUACAUACAUACAUACAUAUAUACAUACACACAUACGUACAUACAUACAUGCACACACACAUACAUACAUACAUACAUACAUACAUACAUACACACAUACAUACAUACACACAUACAUACAUACAUACAUACAGUCUCCCUGUAUCUCUCUCCACUCCCUCCCUCCCUCCUUUCUCUCCCCCUCUCUCUUUAUAUAUAUACAAGUACACAUGUAUGCACACACACACACACACACACACACCACAGAUGUAACAGUUAAGUUGAGGGUGGUAAGUCUUGGGUUUACACUUUUGAACAAAUGCAAAGAAACCCAGCCUAGUUUAGUUUGCAUUUUCCAAUAUUCAAUAAUCGAGGGUUUGGUUCCUCCUGAACCCUUGAAAAAUCAUGUUCGAAUCGCAUAAGGUCUUAUGAGUGUAUAAUCAUUUAAAUAUAAACAGGUUGUUCAUAAAUCAGCGUAUAAUGAUAAUAUAAAUUAUAUAUAUGUGCGUGUGUAUAAAUGUCUGUUUACAUACUCCCACACCUGUACCUCUAUGUGUGUGUAGGCGUGAGUGUGUGUGUGUAUAUAUAUAUAUAUAUAUAUAUAUAUAUAUAUACACACACAUACAUACAUAUGUAUGUAUAUAUAUAUAUACACACACACACAUACACAUAUAUACACAUAUAUAUAUACACACACAUACAUAUAUAUACAUAUAUAUAUAUAUAUACACACAUACAUACAUAUGUACAUAUAUACAUAUAUAUAUAUAUAUAUAUAUAUAUAUAUAUACACAUAUACAUAUAUGCAUACAUAUAUAUAUACAGAGAGAGAGAGAGAGAGAGAAAGAAAGGAACUGUCGCAUCAUAUAUGUACAUACAUACAUACAUACAUACAUACAUACAUACAUACAUACAUAUAUAUAUAUAUAUACAUAUAUAUGUGUGUGUGUGUGUACAUAUGCAUAUCUAUAUGUGCUUGUAGAGGCACACAUGUGUAUGUGUAUGCACGCACACAUACAUACACACAAAAAGCAAUAUAUGUAUGUGAGUGUGAGAAAGAGAGAGAGAGAGACUCAAUAUAUAUGGCUGUCCUCUGAAGAUCUAACGUGAUUGUUGUGUUUGAUCUGGUUCUUUUAUCUAAAUCACUGAAUAUGUUCUAUGGCUGUUUAACACAUAUUGAUCUAAUGUAUUGGUCUCUAUUGAACUGCGUUAGGAUGGCGGAGGGGAUAAUUUAAACUGAUACACACACACACACACACACACACACACAACCGUACUUACUAGUAUAUAUCUUAACAUAUCUAACAUACACUGACAUACUGACAUAUAUUCACACACUUGUAAUAUUUACACAUACAUAUGCACAUAUACAUACAUGUAUACCUACAUCAUAUAUAUGUGUGCGUGUGUGUGUGUGUGUGUGUGUACCCAUAUAUCCUCUGUCACUGGUACUGUCAUACAUAAACAUACACAAAUUACCAAUACAUAAACACACUUCAACACCUAUGUUCACAAAUAUAUACAUGUGUGACUAGUAGUUUAUAUAUACUAACACACACAACAUACAUUCUCUCUCUCUCUCUCUCUCUCUCUCUCUCUUUCUCUCCCUCUCUCACUUUCUCUCUCUCUCUCUUGCUCUCCACACACACAUGCACACACAUCACAUCACACAUGCAUACGCAUCACACACACACACACACACAUACUUACCCACCCGCAUAUAUACUUGCAUUCAAAUAUAUUGGAAUACAUACACAUACCUAUACACUACUAAAAAAAUGCGACUUUUAUAUGCAAUGUCACACACACACAUGCACGCACAUACAUACACACACAUACAUAUGGACUAACACAAGUAUACACUCAGAUAUAGAUAUGCACACCUUGGAAAACAACCACACGCCCACCUUAUAUACGGUUAUAAGAAUGUGCUUAAAAGCCAAAAUGUUAUGUGAAAUCUAUGAGCCAUGUUAUUCAGUUUGAGAAUGGAUAUUUGACAAAGCUUCAGAGGUCUUGUUAGAGAUGUGGAAUGGUAGAAUUGGUGUGCUUUGAUCAAAGGACAAUAUUGAUGAGGCCAGAAUCUAUCGAACUCUAGAUACUCUAUGACACUGGUAUGUUCUGCAGUCACAAGCAGCAUCAUGGAAACCAAUACUUUUACUAAUGUGGUUUAUUGAUUUUUAUUUGUUUUUUAAUAAGGCAACUAAAUGUUGUAGUUGCUGUUGUUGUUAUUGUUGUUGUUAUUCUUUAACUGCGUCAGUCAAUUUAACAUUUAAAACAUCCCAUAAAAUCUGUACCUUGAUUCAGUUCGGUCUGGGACAAAGUGUCGGACAAAAAUAAUUUAAAAAAAAAAUGCUGGAUGCAGGAAUGGUUGUGUGUUUAAGAAGCUCACUUUGGAACCAUGUGAUUUGGGGUUCAACCUCACUGUGUGGUACCUUGUUUGUUAGAAACCUGUCAUGUACACAUACACACACACACACACACACUACACUUUGAUCUUAGUCAAAAGGCCAAGAAGUGAUAUAUCAUUAUCAUCAUCAUCAUCAUUAUUUUAAAUCUGUUUUCCGUGCUGGUUUGGGUUGGAUGGUUUCACAGGUGCUGACAAGGCCGGAGAGCUGCACCAGGCUCCAAUUGUCUGUUUUGGCAUGGUUUCUAUGGCUGGAUGCCUUUCUGCCACAUAAAAGCACUGCCCGUGCAGCAACAUGUAAAAUCGCCCAUGUGACAACAAAUAAAAGUGCCCAUGCGGCAACAUAUAACAGCACCUGUGCGGCAUCACUUGCAAGUGUCCGUGUGAUGCCACGUAAAAACAUCCAGCACACUCUGUAAAGUGGUUGGCAUCAGGAAGGGCAUCCAGCCAUAGGAACCAUGCCAAAUCAGACUGGAGUCUAGUGCAGCUCCCCAGCUUGCCAGUUCUGAUCACAACGUCCAACCCAUGCCAGCAUGGACAACAGACAUUAAAUGAUGAUAAUGAUGACAUAUCUCUCUCUCUCUCUCUCUCUCUCUCUCUCUCUAUAUAUAUAUAUAUAUAUAUAUAUAUAUAGAUAGAUAGAUAGAUAGAUUCCAGUGUGUGUCCAUACUUGACAACUGGGGUUGAUUUGUUUGACAAAACACUUCAAAACAGUGCCCCAGCAUGGCCACAGUCCAAUGACUGAAACAAGUAAAAGAUAAAAGUUAGAGGUAAAAAAUAGUAUAAAAGGAUGUUUACUAACCAGUGCUCAGCUCUGGUUUCUUGACGUUAUAUGAACAGAAUGGCAGUCUGAGACAGGUGAUGUUCUAAGAUUAUCACCUAAAUACAUUCCAAAUACUCAGUGAAAUCCUUACAUUGUGGUUUUAAGCUCAAAGCCUUCCAGUUGUUAUGAUAUGCACUCAGUCACUUCAUUUCUGUACCAGAGUACAUUGCAUUGGCAUAUGGCACUUGGUAAAUGUUUGGUGAUUUAGAACAGUGUUUUUCAUAGACAAACAGGAAUGCUGUAGGAAUUGUAAACUGAGCUGAUUAAUUGCUAUGUUUAAUAAAAUUGUGAUGGCUUCAGACUUUUAAAUUUGUCCAAGACCAUGGCAAAGAGAGAAGGAUUUUAUGGAUGCAAACUCUGUCUUGUCUUUUCAUUCAUAAAGAGAGGAGCAAGAAAAAAUAAUUUCACUGCUAUUAUUGUUGUUGUUGUUGUCAUUUGGAGAAGGGUGGUCUAGUAUUUGUCACUUUGAAACCACUGGUUUUCAAAGGAGAUCUUGUAUCUUUAGCAGUUAGUCAAGCCAAGUAAGAGUUGUUUAGCUCCGGUUUUGUUCUGGUCUUGUAGGCCAAAAUUCAUAUUGUUCCAGACAUGACCUUAUUUCACUGUAUUUUCAGACAGCAUAUCGAAAAUGACAUUAUACAAUAUUUCCUUUACAAAGAAGAUGGUACGAUUUAAGGGGAAUUUGGCUCUUAUUUUAAGUAGGUCCAACAUCCUUGUAGAAGCUCCCUUGUCGAUGCAUUUAUCUAUAUGGGUGAUAAGUGAGGAAGAAUAAAUUGAGUAAAUUAAUGGCUACAUAGAACAGUUGGUUAAGAAACUUGGUCUUAACUUCAUAACUUCAAGGUUAAUGACGCAGUUGGAAUGGGAAUUCACUGUCUGAGAAUCAGGAAUCUCUUUUCACUCUUUACAUUUCAAGAUUUCUUAAUUAAUCGUGAAUUUUAGGUAAUUAGAUUUAACUGUGGACACUGUGAUAAUAAAGAUUGGUAAAACAGAAUAUAUUGCUUUCCUGUCUAAAUGAUGUCUAGUGUGAUCACUGCUGUGGAGCCAAAGCCAUGUUCUUAGCGCUGGUCACAUACAACAGACACUUUCAUUUCCCAGCUGAAAGCAGAUUACAUCAAUUAUAGCAUUAAUGCUGUUGCAGGAGAUAUUAAUGUCUCAUAAUCUCAGUUCUCCUCUUCUCGUAAAUUUGUGAUUUGUGUGCCUUUUGUAAGAUAUUACUUUAUUUACUCGUGUAUAGUUUGGAUUGAAGAAAAAGAAGUCUUUACAAUUAUCUUUUGUUAUUUGAACCCCUCUGAUUUGAAAUUUUGAAAUUAUAUAGAAUUUUCAGUUGAAUAGAGACAAAAUAAGUUGUGAGGGUAAUUUACUCGACAAGGAAUUGUAUGGUCAUAAGUUCAAUUUCUAUUAUAGCUGUUGUGGCUUUUCUAAGAUUCCUAACUUAUAUUAGAACUGAAUGGCUAUUUUAAAAAAAAAAAGGCUAUUCAAAUGAGCCAUCAAGGGUGCUGCUUAAAUGGUUUUUCAACUGGAUAGAAAUAACAGUCAUAUCUUCCUUGAACAAUAACCUCACCAUCAUAAAACCAAGACAAAAAGCAUAGGCACAGGUAUGGCUGUGUGGUUAAGAAGCUCACUUUGCGACCACAGUUUCAGGUUCAGUCCCACUCCACAGUACACUGGACAAAGUUGACCCUGAACCAACCAAUGUCUGGUGAGUGAAUUUCGUAGGCAGAAACUCUGUAGAAGCCCUUCAUAUGUAUUUGUGUGUGUGUGUGUGUGUGUGUGUAAUGUAUGUAUGUAUGUAAUGUAUGUAUGUAUGGAUGGAUGGAUGGAUGAUGAUGAUGAUGAUGAUGAUGAUGUAGUAUGUAUGUAUGUAUGUAUGUGUCUUUAUGCCUGUGUUUGUCUCCACCACUGCUUGACAACUGGUGUUGUUUUGUUUAUGUCCCUGUGACUUUGUAGUUCCGCAGUAUAGGCCAAUAAAAUAAGUACCAAAUUUUUUUUAAAAAAGUGCUAGGGUUGAUUUGUUUGACUAAAACUUUUCAAGGCAGUACUUCAGCAUGGCCACAGUCCAGUGACUGAAACAAAUAUAAAAUAGAAGAUAUUCAAUAAUGUUGUCCUAAAUAACUGCAACAAUCACCUACUCAAAGAAUGUAACUGUCCUAGUUAAUAUGGAAAAUGAAUAUUUAAAACGGUAAUAAAAAAGAAAAAGAAGGAAAACUUUAUUGUAAAAACCAUGUCAUAUAUUUUGAAAUGUUCAUAUUUCUUUCUAAUAAUUAUAAUAGUUAGAUGUCAGUGCAACAGACAGCUUUGAAUGUUGAGGUUACGGUGUAUAGCUUUCUGUUUAGUCAUCAUUCCAACAAGCUGUAAUUGGGAUGUAGUCGGAAGUGGUAAAGAUAAAGUCUUAAUUGGCCGGAAGUGGCGGUCGAGAUUGUCACAGCAUGAAAGGUUUUCUAUUAGAUGAGGUGUUACUUUCUUCUACUUCACCUCCACUUUACAUUAGCUUCAGUCUCUCUCUCCCUUUCUUGCUCUCCCUCUCUCUCCCUUUCACUCUCUCUCUCUCUCUCUGUGUGACAAAGUCAACUCAAGUUGGCUAUCUCUGAAUUGUGAGUUUCUUUCUGUUUUAAUUGGGUGGUCACUUUACAACUUCUGCAUCUUGGCUUUAUCAUCAGUGAUGGACUGUCCGUUACUUCUUACUCUAAUUUAUAUAUUUAUAUCUUCUAUCUAGAUAAAAAUAAUAAAUGGUUCCAGGUUCAGUCCCAUUAUGUGGCACCUUGGGCAAGUAUAUUCUGCUACCAGGCUGACCAAAACCUUGUGAAUGGAUUUGGGAAAUGGAAACUAAAAGAAGCUUGUUAUAUGUAUAUAUAUAGAAAACCAUUUAUUAUUUUUAUCUAGAUAGAAGAUAUGAAUAUAUAAAUUAGAGUAAGAAGUAACACAGAUCAUCACUGAUAUGAAACAGGUGUAGUCUUUUUAUGACUAUUUACUAUUCAUUGUACUUUAUUGAUUUAAAAUAAGGUGUGUUUUUUUAUAGUAUAUGUUUUCUAUAUGGGGUGAAUAACAUCUUUCUUUAGUGAAUUGCUUAAUAGUGGAUUUUCUCUAAAUCAUUUAUUCUUUUACUUGUUUCAGUCAUCUGACUGCGGCCAUGCUGGAGUACCGCCUUUAGGCGAGCAAGUUGACCCCAGGAAUUAUUCUGUGUAAGCCUAGUACAUAUUCUAUCAGUCUCUUUUGCCAAACCGCUAAGUUACGGAGAAGUAAACACACCAGCAUUAGUUGUCAAGUGAUGUUGGGGGACAAAAACAGACACACACACACACACACACACACACAUACGACGGGCUUCUUUUAGUUCCCAUCUACCAGAUCCACUCACAAGGCUUUGGUCAGCCUGAGGCUAUAGUGGAAGACACUUACCCAAGGUGCCACACAGUGGGACUGAACCCAGAACCAUAUGGUUGGUAAGCAGGCUACUUACCACACAGCCACUCCCGUGUCUGUAUAUGUAUAUGUAUAUAUAUGUGUGUGUGUGUAUGCAUAUAUAUAUAUAUAGUCAGUGUAUAUCCAAAACACCACAAACUAUAGAGCAAUAAUGUACUUAUAUUCAGUUAUGUCCAGUCAUACAGUGACCAGUGGUUUCACAUCCAUAAGGCACUUAGCCCUAUGGAUGACUCAUCAGACCCUAUUGGCAGAGGGUAUACAUCUCUUCAAAUUAGAGGCAUAUGCCCUCCACCAUCAGGGUCUGAUGUGUCAUCCAUAAGGCUAAGUGCCUUAUGGAUGUGAAACCAUUGGUCACUUUGUGACCAGACAUAUACUUAACUGCUUAUAUAUAUAUAUAUAUAUAUACAAGUUUCUUCUCUGUGUGUUAGUGUGUGUGGGAGGGUGUAUGUGUUUAUACCCACCACUUGACAACCAUUAUUGGUUUAUUUACAUCCCUAUGACUGAGUGGUUCAACAUAAAAGGUCCAUAGAAUAAGUGCCAAGCUUUAAAAAAAAAUGUUGGGGUCAGUUUGUUUGACUAAAACCCUUUGAGGUAAUGCUCUAUCAUGGCCACAGUCUAGUGUCUGAAACAACUAAAACAUAAAACAUUGUGGCUGUGUGGUAAGUAGCUUGCUUACCAACCACAUGGUUCUGGGUUCAGUUCCACUGCAUGGCACCUUGGGCAAGUGUCUUCUACUAUAUCCUCGGGCCGACCAAAACCUUGUGAGGGGAAUUGGUAGAUGGAAACUGAAAGAAGCCUGUCAUAUAUAUGUAUGUAUAUGUGUGUGUGUAUAUGUUUGUGUGUCUGUGUUUGUCCCCCCAACAUCACUUGACAACAGAUGCUAGUGUGUUUACAUCAUCAUCAUCAUCAUCAUUUAGCGUCCGCUUUCCAUGCUAGCAUGGGUUGGACGGUUCAACUGGGGUCUGUGAAGCCAGAAGGCUGCAUCAGGCCCAGUCUGAUCUGGCAGUGUUUCUACGGCUGGAUGCCCUUCCUAACGCCAACCACUCCAUGAGUGUAGUGGGUGCUUUUACGUGCCACCCGCACAGGUGCCAGACAGGGCUGGCACCUGUGCGGGUGGCACGUAAAAGCACCCACUACACUCACAUCCCUGUAAAUUAGCGGUUCGGCAAAAGAGUUCGAUAGAAUAAGUACUAGGCUUACAAAGAAUAAGUCCUGGGGUCAAUUUGCUCGACUAAAGGCAGUGCUCCAGCAUGGCUGCAGUCAAAUGACAGAAACAAGUAAAAGAGGAAAAGAAUAUUAUUUUUGAAGUGAAGAUAUCUUUAAGUAAAUCUUUUUCCAAAGCUGACCGAGCGGUGAAAUGAGAAGUUUUUAUGGGUGUCAGUUAGGUUUUAUCAUUUUAUUUUAUUCGUUAAAAUCCCACAAAGGGUCAGUAAAAUAAAGUGCCAGUCAAGAACUUGUGUUGUUUUUAUAAACUAUACUUCCCCACCACCCUCCAAAUUUCUGGCCCUGGGUCAAUCUCGGAAAUUAUUAUUUAACGAGGCAAUUUGUAUCAGUUAUAUUUUUAUUAGAGUUUAUAGUAUUUAACUUACAUUUUGUCUAAUAAUGUUUAGGGAGGGAGUGGAGAAGCUUGUUUAAAGGCCAAACUGAUAAUGAGGACAACGGCGGCGGUGGUGAUGGUGGCAAUGGUGGCGUCAGUGUUGGUGGUUAUGUAUUUGUGUGUAUGUGCUGGUAUUCGAAGAUUAUUACUUUGUGUGUGUUGUGUGUGGCUGUAUAUAUGUGUGUGUUAUGUUACAGUGUAUAACACAAACUGUAGAAGUAGAUUUGCUCUAAGAUUAAAUGCGAAAAAGGUGGGAACGAUAUAUUUAUUGUCCUUGUUGCUAAGCAACCCCACGUCUGACCUCACUGAACAAACCAAUAAACAAAGCUGUUCCAACCAUGACCACCCGAUUCUUCUCUCAGACAUUUAAAUAUCUAGCUCCAUAUUAUCCACACUCAUCCCUUAUCAAAACUAGAAAGUAAUUUGAGGCAGAUUUAGCUGAUAUUUCCCUAGAUGGCUUAUGAGAAUAAUAUUUUGUGUAAAAGUCAGAGUGUUUAAGGGAUUAUUGGAUGAGUGGGACAUCACUGGAGAAUUUAUUUUCAAACACUACCUAAAUUAGUGGUCACUAUUUGCACCUCUCUUUUGCAGUAACCUUUUCGUGUUCUGGCAGGUCAAAAAGUAUAAUUCUAGGUGCAGGCGUGGCUGUAUGGUUAAGAAGCUUGCUUUGCAACCAUGUAGCUUUGGGUUCAGUCCCACUCUGUGGCACCUGAGGCAAGUGUCUUAUGGUAAAGACCCUGGUUAACCAAUGCCUUGUGAGUGAAUUUGGUUGACCAAGACAGCGUGGAAACCUGUUGUGUGUGUAUAUAUAUAUGUAUAUAUACAUAUCAGAUCAUUAAGAAUGAAAUGUCCGGUUUUGAACUGAAAGUUUAUUUUACUUUAUCUCAACAAAAAGCAAUGUAUUUAAUCAAAGUAUGCACCUCAAUUAUCAACACAAUUUUACCAUUUUAUCGGUUGCUUAUUUAUGCCAGCAGCAAAGAAUUCUGGAGCGCAAGAGGUGAAGAAAUCAUGAAAGGCUGUUUUUGCGUUUUCUUCAGACUUGAAGUUUCUCCUUGUAAAAAGUUGUCUAAUGCCUGGAAAACAUGAUUGUCAGUUGGUGCAAAGUCUAGUGAAUAUGGUGGAUGACAGAGUACUUCCAAGUUCAAUUCCUGCAACUUCUGUAGCAUUCUUUGUGCAACAUGUGGUCAAGCAUUGUCUUGCAAGAGAAUUGGCCUGUCUCUGUUUAUCAAUCUCGGUUGUUUAAUUGCAGGUUCAUUCAUCAUUUCAUCCAAUUAGUUGAUGUAUACAUCUGCUGUAAUUGACUUACCAGGUGUCAUGAAGCUGUAGUGAAUGCCACCAGCACUGGACCACCAAACAGACACCAUUAGCUUCUUUUGGUGAAAAUUCUCUUUUGGAUUGUGUUUUGGCACUUUGUCUCUAUCCAGCCACCGUGCAGAAUGCUUGCUAUUGUUGAAAAGAAUCCAUUUUUCAUCACACAUAAUAUGAUGCCAAAAUGGCUCACUUUUAUGCCAUGACAGCAAAGAACAGCAAGUUUCAAGAUGACGUGUCAUUUGAUGCUCGUUCAGUUCAUAUGGGACCCACUUGUCCAGGUUCUUUACCUUGCUGAUUUGUUUCAGAUGGUCCAAUAGAGUUUGCUGCUAACUCACCUGUAGUUUGAGAUGUAUCUGCGUCAACUACAGUUUCCAGCUCAUCAUUGGUUUCAGAUCUACCAUGGGGCUGAUUUCCAAGAGUAAAGUCAUCAGACCGGAACUUCUCAGAUCAUCGACAUACAGUGUGCUCAUUUGCUACAUCUUCACCAAACACCUUGUUGGUGUUUCAAGCUAUCUGAGAUGCAUUGAUUCUAUGACAGAACAGCAUGAAUUUUUUAUCUAUCCAUGGGUUCACAAAAAUUGAUUUACAAGAGAAAACUCUCAAUAUAAUCAGACACCAUGAAUUGCAUUUCGAAAAGUGAUGAUAUAAUUCUUCAAUGUUGUAAAACAAAGAAUUGUCAGGAUUAGAGUUAACAACUGUCUAACUCGAUGCAUAAGAAAACUGAACACUUCAUUCUUAAUGACCUGACAUAUAUAUAUACACACACACACACACACACACACACAUAUGUGUGUGUGUUUGUCUCCCCUCCACAAUUUGGCAACAGGUGUUGGUUUGUUUAUGCCUCAGUAACUUUGUGGUUUUCCAAAAGAGGUUGAAUGAACAAUUACUUGACUUAAAAAGUAAGCAUUGACAUCAAUUUUUUUGGCUAAACCCUUCAAGGUGGUGCCCCAGUAAAAGCUUAAAGAUAAAAAAUAAAUGCAAUUAGAAUACACUUUCCAGGAGUAUGACACAAGAGCAUUUUCUUAACCAUACUUGAACCAUACUUGAAGCUGAAUUUAAAUGAUUUAUGAUGCCUAUUGAUGAUGAAUAAACAACUCUUUGAUUGAUUCUAGCUUGUAUGACUGUGUACUGGCAGUAUAGCUGUUACAGUUGUGGUAAACCAGUCAGAAUUUAUAAAUGAACUGAAUUUCACUUCAUUAAAAUGCUUAUAGUAAACUGUGAGUUACAGGGUAAAACUGGAGAAACAAUAAUUUGCUGACCUAUCAAACCCAUAUGUUAAUAAAAACCCAAUCUGAAAAUGUGGAUGACGUAAGUGUGAGUAGUAAUGAUAUAAUUCACAGUCUAAUUAGUAAUUUAACCCGUUCUAUGAUAUUUGCUUUUAAACACUGAUGAGGCUGCUACUGGAAAACAUUAACAUGUUAGAAAUCCAUUCUGUUCUCGCCUUUAUUUGCCUUCCAGCAAAGCAAGUCAUUAAUUCUUAUCACCUAAAAGGAUUGAAACAACAACCUUGCAGUUACUAAUCAUGGUUGUUUCUUCUGAGUUGCCAAGUCUUUGUGUGGAGUUUGAUGUCAGUCCAUACACAUUAUAACACAGUUGUCUCUGUUUGAUCUUUCACUCUAAAAGGAAUCUGAUGAAGUAGAAAAUAAAAUUGCUUUGAUAGCAAAAUCUACUUAAAAAGCUUUUCCUUUUUAUAGUCUACUUUUCUACUGCAGCUUGGGUCAUGUAUGAGUCACCAGCUCUGUUUUUUUUUUGUUUUUUUUUUAUAUACAAUGUCAGACAGUGAUGUAAAUUUACUAACAUGAUGUCUGUCCUCAAGUCAUCUGAAGCUGUAUACAUUUUCACAAUCAGUCUUCACAAACACAGAAAAUAGUCACACUAUCAUUUUAGUUUAUUAAAAUAUAUACAAUAAGUCAAAAUAUUUUUACUGUCAAAUGCUCAAGAGUAACAUGUAAAUUCUUAGCUCACUUGAGUUUAAAAGUCUGUUUCAAUUUUCAGUUGGAACAAAUCACUCUUCUCAUGCUACUGAUAUCACUAAGAAUAUAUCAUGUAACUUUCAACCAUUUCUCUCUCCAACAUUUCUUGUUUGUUUAAUGUUUGCAGUUGAAAGUAUUAUUCCUCUGUAAAAAAAAAAAAAAGAGUUUUUAUUGUUAUUUUAACAUUUUUCAUUUUUAAUUGAAUGACAGAAAUGUUGUGGGUAUUUAGAUUUCCCCUUGUCAUGUAGAACUUCAACAAGGACAAGCUUGCCACCCUUAAACCCAAGAACUAUGCUGCUCGUACUUUUUAAUCAUUGCCCCCUACCUCUUUCGUUAACACUUUCUCAGCACUUCCUCAGCUCAUGAUUCAUCAAAAUUAAGUUCAUCACAUGUAGCUAUAGAUAUUUAUAUGCAUGUAGUUCAGGAAGUUACUUAAUACUACAUGGACGGUGUCUAUUUAUUGCAUGCAAGGAAAUACUCACAAAUCUAGACAAUGUCUUCUAAAUUAUACUUUUGUUUAUGGCUUAUAAUUCAAAUGCAUAACUGAUAUAUAUUUGGUUCAGUUUAUUUACUUAUUUAUACUUUGAAGUUUCUUGUUGUUUUUGUUAUUGUGGUUGUCGUUGUAGUUAUGAUUAUGGCUAACAAGCAGUUUAUCAUGAUAUGAUAUUCAUUAUUUUUUAAGUGUUUUUAAAGUUAAUAUUUAACUGUACAGAUGCAUCUAUCACCUGCCUCACUGCCCCUUCUGUUUCUAUUAUCCAUAUAAAGUUUUCCCUCUCACCCAGGAUGUGGUAUCUUGAUUCCUGCAGUUGUAGUCAAAAAUAUGCAUCUUGGUUAGCUUACAUGAAAUGAUGUUUUUCAUAUUAGGGCUGCAGCUAUAGCAAACUUUUAUGGAAUAUCUGUUGAAAAUUUUGCUAUAUCUAUGGCUAUCAGGGAAAUGUUUAUCUAUCAGAGCUAAAAUUGUUUACCUGCAUUAGUAACUUGAUCUCUGCCAUCAAACCAAAUGAGAAACUUAGCUAUAUGUACAACCUUGUCAUUCCUCUAUUAUCACUAAAAACCUAAUAGCUAACAUUAGUCGUAGGAUCUGUAACUUUUCCUCUAAAGAAAUUUUUGAUAAGCCCACUUGCUACUAUAGCAGUACGUGGCCAACUCUUUACUCUUUUACUUGUUUCAGUCAUUUGACUCUAGCCAUGCUGGAGCACCACCUUUAAUCGAGCAAAUCAACCCCGGGACUUAUUCUUUGUAAACCUAGUACUUAUUCUAUUGGUUGCUUUUGCUGAACCGCUAAAGUUACGAGGGCGUAAACAUACCAGCAUCGGUUGUCAAGCAAUGUUGGGGGGACAAACAUAGACACACAAACAUAUACAUACACACAUACAUAUAUAUAUAUAUAUAUAUAUAUAUAUAUAUAUAUAUAUAGAUAGAUAGAUAGAUAGAUAGAUAGAUAGAUAGAUAUACAUACAUACGACUGGCUUCUUUUAGUUUCCGUCUAUCAAAUCCACUCACAAGGCUUUGGUGAACCCGAGGCUAUAGUAGCAGACACUUGCCCAAGGUGCCACGCAGUGAGACUGAACCCAGACCAUUUGGUUCAUAAGCAAGCUAUGUACCACGGCCACUCUUACGCCAACAGUGACAUUUUAUACAAAAUAUUAUACACCCAAAUUUAAAAAUAAACCAAGCUGAAAAAUAGACCUAGGAAAGUAAUAUAUUAUCAUUAUGAUGAUCAUCAUCAUUUAACGCCCAUUUUCCAAUAGGGUUAGGGUUGGACAUUUUGACAGGAUCCAGUAAGCCACAGGGCUGCAUUGUGUUCCAUGUCAGUUUUGGCAUGGUUUAUAUGGCUGGAUGUCCUUCCUAAUGCCAAUCACUUUUCAGUGUCUACUGAGGACUGUUUUGUGCCUUCAAUACUAGAGGGGUUGCUAAAUAAUUUGUAAGAAAAGAAAGAACAACAAUAGGGAUAAACAAAAAAAAGCCGUUUUAACUAAGUGAGGUGAGUAUUUGAGAGGGUGGAAUGGUGAUUUUAUGCCAGUGACUAGCAGAGUUAUAGGUGUCUUGCUACAGAGAAGAUACAUGGUUACCUCACAUUCAUAUAAAGGUGGGCGGGAAUAUCUGGGUAAAGCUAAAGUGGUAGUGAUAGGGUGCCAGAGAAAAACCCUCAAGAAGCAAGAGAUGAUACAGGCAGUGGGUCAGCAGUGGAUUGGCAGUUAGAGAGUGUGAAGGAAGAAUACCUAUUUCUUUACUACCCACAAGUGGCUAAACACAGAGGGAACAAACAAGGGCAGACAAAGGGAUUAAGUCGAUUACAUCGACCCUAGUGCGUAACUGGUACUUAAUUUAUCGACCCCAGUGCGUAACUGGUACUUAAUUUAUCGACACAGUGUAUAACUGGUACUUAAUUUAUCGACCCCAAAAGGAUGAAAGGCAAAGUUGACCUCAGCAGAAUUUGAACUCAAAACGUAACGGCAGACGAAAUACAGCUACGUAUUUCGCCCUUCGCGCUAACGUUUCUGCCAGCUCACUGCCUAGAUGGGAGUAGAAGUGAUUGUAGUGAGUGAUGACAGGAGUGGAUGUGCUGUUUGAUGGGGAUUAUCAGUAUGAGCAGAGGAGAGAGAUAGGAGUGGCUUAGGGAUGGUAGUUCAGGAGGUAGGCAUAAAAGCAAUGGGCAGGGAAAUGUAGAAGUACAUAAAGGGUAGGCAUGGUGAAUGGGUGUGGUGGCAAACAUGAGAGGGUGCUGGGAAUGAUAGCCUAUAUGCAAGGUGUUAAGAUGAAGCUUAACAGAGGAGUGGUGGUGAUGGGGGGCAAGUGGGAAAACAGUGAACACAUGGUAAAUGCUACCAGGUCAUAUUCAUUUAUGAUUGAUGGGUUUGGUUACUUUGUAUGUUUAUAUGUAUUUGUGUAUAUACAUACAUAUAUAAACAAACACUCACGUAUGCAGAUGUAUAUGUGAGUGUGUGUAUGCAGAUAUUUGUUUGUGUGUCUAUACAUAUAUAUAUAUACAUAUAUAUAUAUAGAGAGAGAGAGAGAGAGAGAAAUAUAUAUACAUGUAUAUGUACAUAUAUAUGCAUGUAUUUCUUUUUCUCUUUUACUUGUUUCAGUCAUUUGACUGCGGCCAUGCUGGAGCAUCACCUUUAAUCGAGAAACUCGACCCCGGGACUUAUUCGUUUGUAAGCCCAGUACUUAUUCUAUCGGCCUAUUUUGCCGAACCGCUAAGUAACGGGGACAUAGGGGACAUAAACACACCAGCAUCGGUUGUCAAGCAAUGCUAGGGGGACAAACACAGACACACAAACACACACACACACAUAUAUAUAUAUGUACACAUAUAUAUACGACGGGCUUCUUUCAGAUUCCGUCUACCAAAUCCACUCACAAGGCUUUGGUCGGCCCGAGGCUAUAGUAGAAGACAUUUGCCCAAGGUGCCACGCAGUGGGACUGAACCCGGAACCAUGUGGUUGGUAAACAAGCUACUUACCACACAGCUACUCCUGCGUAUGUGUAUGUGUGUAUGAAUAUAUAUAUCAAAUUUGUUUAUGAGAAAUGUUUUGAAUAUGCAAAUAAUACUCCUAUUCCAUUAUGCCAGCCACAGUCUAAUGAUGCUGACUGGUGAACCAGGUUUUUGGGUUGCCUCAAGCUGUACUGACAUAAUAUAGGAUAAAUAUAAUAAUAAUAAUAAUAAUAAUCCUUGAAUGGAAUUUAUAAACAUUUAAUGCAUCACUACACGUGUUUCCACAAACCACGUUGUCUCUUAAGAUCACAGUCAGUAUUCCUGGAAUGAUUACAGUGUAGUCUGUAGUAUCUGUGGGCAUUGGGUAGAUCAUCUUCAUGGAUUCAUUAUUCAGAUUACACUGUAAUAAUCCCAGCAAUAUAGACUACUCAUAAGAGACAUGCGAUUUGUGGAAACGUAUGUAGCGAUGCAUUAAAUACAUUUAUAAAUCUCAUUCUGGGAUUAUUCUUAUUAUUACUAUAUAUAUUUCUUUACUACCCACAAGGGGCUAAACACAGAGGGGACAAACGAGGACAGACAAACGGAUUAAGUCGAUUACAUCAACCCCAGUGCGAAACUGGUACUUAAUUUAUCGACCCCGUAAGGAUGAAAGGCAAAGUCGACCUCGGCGGAAUUUGAACCCAGAACGUAACUGCAGACAAAAUACGGCUACGCAUUUCGCUCGGCGUGCUAACGUUUCUGCCAGCUCGCCGGCAUAUAUAUUAUUACUAUAUAUAUGUACACAAACACAUACACACACACACAUCUUAUCAUCAUCAUCAUUGUUUAAUGUCUGCUUUCCAUGCUGGCAUAGGUUGGACAGCUUGACUUGUGAGCCAGGAGGCUGCACAAGGCUCCAGUCUGAUCUGGCAGUGUUUCUACACCUGGAUGCCCUUCCUAACACCAACCACUCCAAGAGUGUAGUGGGUGCUUUUUACCUGCCACCAGCAUGGGAGCCAGCCAAGUGGCACUGGUAUUGAUCAUGCUCAAAUGGUGCUUUCUAUGUGUCACUGGCACAGGUGCCAGUCAAGGUGGCACUGGCAUUGGCCACUACUAAGAUUUCACUUGACUCACCAGGACUUCUCAAGCACAGCAUAUUGCCCAACGAUUGAAGGGUACUUUUUAAACUGGCCAGUUAUGUGACACUUGCAUCAGUCACAGCUACAAUCUCCCUUGGCUUGUUGGUCCUCUCAAGCACAACAUAUCUCCAGAGCUUUCAGUUGCUUCUCAUUGCCUCUGUGAGGCCCAACGUUCAAAGGUCAUGCUUCACCACCUCAUCCCAUGUCUUCCUAGGUCUACCUCUUCCACAGGUUCCCUCUACUGCUAGGGUGUGACACUUUUUCACAUAACUGUACUCAUCUAUACGCAACACAUGACCAUACCAGUGCAGUCAUCUCUUGCAUACCACAUCUGAUGCUUCUUAUGUCCAACUUUUCUCUCAGGGCGCUUACACUCUGUCAUGUUUGCACAUUGACAUUACACAUCUAGCAGAGCAUAUUAGCUUCAUUUCUUUUAAGCCUAUGCAUGUCCUCAGUCACAGUCCAUGUUUCACUGCCAUAUACCAUGGCUGUUUGCAUGCAUUCACUUUGCAGUCUACCUUUCACUCUGAGUGAGAGGCCAUUUGUUACCAGCAGAGAUAGGAGUUCUCUGAACUUUGCCUAGGCUAUUCUUAUUCCAGAAGUUACACUCUCAGGGCAUCCACCCCUGCUACUGACUUGGUCACCUAGGUAACGGAAGCUAUCAACUACUUCUAGUUUUUCCGCUUGGCAUGUUAUGAAAUCCGUUUUCUGUACAUCUUUGGUGCUUAUUGUACCUGUGCAUCUGUCACUGACAAAAACUAUCUUCCCAGUUAACCUUCCUUUGAUAUUGCUGCACCUCUUAUGUACCCAUAACUUACACUGGAUACAUCUUAUGGAGUUUCUACCUAUGCCGUUUCUACAGAUUGAGCAGUGCCAUCUACCUGAAGAGAUUUGUGAUUUGUGUGUCUUUCUACUUAUUAAGACUUUGGUUUUUGCUAGAUUGACUCUAAGACCCUUCGAUUCUAGACCUUGCUUCCACACCUGAAACUUCUCUAGUUCUGGUAGUCACUCAACUAUUAGAGCAAGGUCAUCAGCAUAGAGUAAUUCCCAGGGGCAGCCUGUCUUGAAUUACUCUGUUAUUGCCUGGAGGACUAUAAUGAAUAAGAGGAGGAUGAGGACUGAUCCUUAGUGAACCCCUACUUGUACCCUGAAUUCUUCACUAUACUCAUUGCCAACCCUCACCUUACUGAGAGCUUGUAUGUAUGUGUGUGUGUGUGUGUGUGUAUGGAUGGAUGCAUGCAUGCAUGCAUGCAUAUAGGUAUAUACAUACAUCAUCAUCAUCAUCAUCAUCGUUUAGUGUCCGUUUUCCAUGCUAGCAUGGGUUGGACGGUUCUACUGGGGUCUGUGAAGCCAGAAGGCUUCAUCAGGCCCAGUCAAAUCUGGCAGUGUUUCUAGUAGAUAUAUAUAUACAUAUAUAUAUGUGUGUGUGUGUGUGUGUGUGUAAUCAUCAUUAUCAUCAUCAUCCUCAUUUAACAUCCAUUUUCUGUGUUGGCAUGGAAAAGAUGGUUUUGCAAGAGGUGGGAAGGCCAGGAACCACACCAUUGUCUGUUUUUGGCAAGGUUUCUAUAACUGGAUGCCCUUCUUAAAUCCAACUACUUUACAGACUGUACUGGCUACUUCUUAAGUGGAGCCAGCACCAUAUACACACAUACACACACACACUUAAAUGCAUACACACAUAUUGUGUGUGAAGGUGCAUGGCCUAGUGAAGAGGAUGUUGCAUUCAUGAUCACUAGAUCAUGGGUUCAACUCCCUGACCAGGUGGCAUAUUGUGUUCCUGAGCAAAGCACUUCAUUUCAUGUUGCUCCAGUCACCCCUUUCAAUCAGUGUGGAAUGUUGGCUUGUUCACCCAACCAGCAGGUUAGCAUCCUUCAAAGGCUAAAAUGAUGCAAAGCACAUUGUGACCACUGUUGUGUCAUGACAUCCAAUAGUCUGGAUGAUCAUGUGAUCACAGUCAUGUGAUAUAUUCAUAGUAUAUUUUGCAUGUGCAAUUAGAUGUACAACUGCUACUGUUGUGCUUAGAGGUCCAUGUAGAUUAUCACAACCAAAUCUACUUCAAGUAUAAGUGGUUAAGUAACUACUACACUUAGCAGUAUUACUAAUUGUGAAGAACAUUGUUCAUAUAUAUAUAUAUAUAUAUAUAUAUAUAUAAGUAGGUGAAUGAAUUAUCCUAGUAUGGAUAAUUCGGUUAAUCAAUACCUGGGUAGGAAUUUUGUUAAAAUCUUCGUUUGACUCCAUUCUUUUCAUUUAUAUAUAUGUAUAUAUAUAUAUAUAUAUAUAUAUAUAUAUAUUUCUUUACUACCCACAAGGGGCUAAACACAGAGGAGACAAACAAGGACAGACAAAGGGAUUAAGUCGAUUACAUCGACCCCCCAGUGCGUAACUGGUACUUAAUUUAUCGACCCUGAAAGGAUGAAAGGCAAAGUCGACCUCGGUGGAAUUUGAACUCGGAACAUAACGACAGACGAAAUACCGCUAAGCAUUUUGCCCACCGUGCUAAUGUUUCUGCCAGCUUGCCGCCUUAUAUAUAGAUAUAGACACACAUAUAGAAAGUCAUAGAGAGAAUGUCAGUUUUUUUUAAUAUUACAUAUAUAAGUACCCAAUUUAUCUAUUUUUUAGUUUUGUUUAAAAUAGGCAUGACUCCAAGAACAAAUUAUUACAAUGUGAUUACUAAAGGAAAAUCUAUGUACUUCUGACGUCUUUUUUAGUUUUUAUCCUAGCUACUGACAAGUACAAAUUUGACUUUUCCGAUUUUCUAUUAUGAAUAUCUGAGUCCUUUUAUAUGAAACAAAUUGUACAGCAACAUGAAUAAUAAAAACUAUAAUCCAUUUUAGCAUCUAAUCUCCUUCAUUGCAUAAAUAGGAACGAAUUCGUUGAACUGUGUUUAAUAAGUUUCAUCAUCUACUGAUUACUUCUAUAUUAAGUUUUCAUACCUAUACAAAUUUACAUUAAUAAAUUCAGUAGUAGACUAUGAAGAAACAAUGUUAGAAAUCUUUGGAAAUUACUCCAAUUAAAGGACAUUCAUCCAUUGAAAAAAAAAAUAUAUAUAUAUAUAUAUUUAAAAGUAUAUAUAUGAUAUGUAUGUAUGUAUGUGUAUGUAUGUAUGUAUGUAUGUAUGUAUGUAUGUAUGUAUGUAUGUAUGUAUGUAUGUAUGUAUGUAUGUAUGUAUGUAUGUGUGUGUGUGUGUGUGUGUGUAUGUAUGUAUGUAUGUAUGUUUUAGUAGACUUAAGCCUGAACAUUGAGUUGUUUGAUAUAAGGAAACUAUCUUGAAACAGUCUUACCACAAGGAAUUUUGGGCAAGUGUCUUCUACUAUAGCCUCAAGCCAAUAAAAGCAUUGUGAGUGGGUUUGGUAGAUGCUCAUUGUGUGUGUGUGUGUGUGUGUGUGUGAGUUGAGACUUUGGAUGAAUAUGCUCUGCUAUAGCCCCAGGCUGACCAAUGUCUUGGAAAUGAAUUUGGUAACUGUCCAUUGUUUGUUUGUGUGUGUGUGUGUGUGUGUGUGUUAUUUGGAAGCUAAUUAUAAAAUGUUCAUAAAGCUGUUUGUAAAAAAAAAAAAAAUGGUGUCAGUUCUCUGUAAUCUGUGAAAAUAUGUCCAACUAAUGAAUUGUUCAUGUUGAAAGGAUCAGAAGAAAUAUAUUAUACUUGGAAACAGAUGAAGUUUGGCAACAGGAUGAACAUCCAGCCGUCACAAGUUUUGUCUAACCUACCAACCAGCAUAUACACUAUCACAAGUCUCAUCUCAUCCAUUAGAAAGUUUGGAAAAGUGGAUGCUAAAACAAUGAUGGUGGCUGACUUUACUCUUUUACUUGUUUCAGUCAUUUGACUGCGGCCAUGCUGGAGCACCGCCUUUAGUCGAGCAAAUCGACCCCGGGACUUAUUCUUUGUAAGCCUAGUACUUAUUCUAUCGGUCUCUUUUGCCGAACUGCUAAGUUUUGGGGACAUAAACACACCAACAUCAGUUGUCAAGCAAUGGUGGGUGGGGGGGACAAGCACAGACACACAAACAUAUACACACACAUGCAUAUAUAUAUAUAUAUACAUAUGCAUAUAUACGAUUUGGCUUCUUUCAGUUUCUGUCUACCAAAUCCACUCACAAGGCUUUGGUCAGCCCGAGGCUUUAGUAGAAGACACUUGCCCAAGGUGCAAUGCAGUGGGACUGAACCGGAACCAUGUAGUUCACAAGCAAGCUACUUAUCACCCAGCCACUCCUACUUUAGAAGAAACAGAAUGCAGAAAUAGUUUAUUAUUAAUACAAAUGGUGUGAAAAUUAAGUUUCUUAGGAUAUAUGUUAUUUGUUCUAUCAUUAAAGAAAACUAUAGCUAAUAUUAACUGUUAUAGUCCAGAAACUUGAAGAGUUGGGAGUUCCUUCUGUUUACCUUUUACUUGCUUCAGUCAUUGGACUGCAGCCAUGCUGGGGCAUCACCAUGAAGGGUUUUAGUUGAACAAAUCAGCCCUAGUGCUUAUGUUUUUUUUAAAAGUGUGAUACUUAUUCUAUCAGUGUCUUUUGCUGAACUGCUAAGUUACAGGGACAUAGACAAACCAAUACUAGUUAUCAAGCAGUGGUAGGAAACAAACACACACCCACACAUCUAUACAUAUAUGAUGAGUUUCUUUCAGUGUCUGUCUACUAAUUCCUCCCACAAGGCUUUGGCCGGCCCAGGGAUAUUGUAAAAGACACAUGCCUAAAGUACCAUGCAGUGAGACUGAACCUGGAACCAUGUAGUUGGGAAGCAAACUUCUUACUACUCAGCCACAUCUAUGCCUAUAUUUCCUUAACAUUUUAUGAAUGCAAGUAACAAAAAAAAAAUGAUAAAAAAAUAACAAUUUAAACAAUGCUACUGUCUUAUUUAUUUAUAUAUACUAGAACAAACAAAAGAAAGGAGAGAGGAUCCCAUUUGUUGGAGAGCUAAAAACAGCUGUAAUGUUCCUCCUGUCUAGAUAGAGAAUCAGUUAUUGAUUUGUUAGGUUCAACUGUUAUGGACUGGUUCCCUGUCUUGCAAAGUACCAUUAAAAACAGUGACAUUUAUUAAUUUUUAAGUUGAUGACAGUUGUAGCCUAACCCCCCAUUGUCAUUGUACUCUGCUGUUCUCUCAGUUGCACACAGUCUGUGUGUUAUAUCUCCAAACUAGACAAAGAAAAACUAGACAACUAUUAGAGCCUCAUAAAGAUUUAUCUUCUUUCAUCUACUAAAGAAAAAAAUAAAAAGAGAUACAUUAUACUUUAUCAUUGAUUUCAUUUUAUAGCAGUUUUAAAUUCUAUCACUGAAACCAUAUAUCUUUUUUUUUUUUUUUGGGGAUUUGUCUUCUAAUUUUAUUUAUUUAUUUUUUUGUUUCCUUUCUCUCUUUUGUGUGCAAAGCUAGCAGUGAAAGAAUGUUAAAAGCUCCAGACAAAUAAUAGAGAAUUAAUUGGGGAAAGAUUCCUGAUUGGGACAGAAAAACAAGUUGAUAGCUCCUCUUCUCAUCACAUUUAGCAUCAACCUCUUCCUGAGAGACAUUUUACAUUUUUCAUUUUUUAUUUCAAGUUGUUUCAUUUAUUUCUUUUUUUUAUUUUUAGCAUUUUUAUCUUCUUUGUUUUAAAGUUCAUUUCUUUAAAAAGUCAGUCAGAUAUUUGAACUAUCUUAAAUUAGUUUUUCACUUUCAUAUUAAUUUAAAUUUUAUGUCUAAUCUUGUUCAAAGAGUGAUUUUAAAAAAAAAUCUGUUUGUUUUUUUAAUUUUAAUUUUUAUUUUCUAUUUUUUAUUUUGUUUUAUUUUAUUUUUUUUCUAUCUUAAAUCUAAUUUGUACUUGAAAUAAGUGAAAUUCUGAAAUAUGCUAUUCGUAACAUGAAGAACCUCUUCAAUAAAGAGAAAAUAUGAUAAUAACAUUUUCCAUUUAUCAAACAGUUAUUAUUUUUGACUAUCUUAAAAGGGGGGAAAAUGUUCUAUACAUUUUCCUUACACAUUAACGACCCAAUGCUUAAUUGUAUCUCGCUAAUUCAUACUUUGAUUAUCUUAUAAGACAUUUUAUAUUUUUACUAUAAAUCAUGUCCAUUUAUCAAUGCACAAGGUAUUCUAUAUCUACAUACUAACAAGAUUAAAAAGCCAGAAACAGUCUAAAUCCAUCUCAAUCUUCUUACAUAUUCUAUUUGAAGCCCUUUUACAGCUACCACAGCAGAAAAGACUCAAAAAUGUCUUUUUCUUUUUAAACAAUUAACAAUAAUUUUCAAGUGGAGUAUAAUUGUUUCAAUUGUUAAGGAUUCUCUUCAGGGAGAAAAAGGAUGAGAAGUGGAAUUAAUAAAAACAGGCCACUUAGUUUUGAAUUUUUCUCUUUUGCUUGGGAAAUAUCCCCUGUUCAUUCUUCUCCACUGUACAAUGAACUAGAACUGUUCUGUAGCACUUCUAGACAAUUGAUAGCAUUGAAUAGUCUCAUUUGUUUAGGGAGUCUGUUCAUGUAGAAAAGGGCUUUGUUGAGAUAAAAUACAAUGUCAGUCUCUUUAAAAAGGGUACCACUGACACUUGUCAUUCAUUUUUUCUUUUUUUUUCUUUUAUUUUAUUUAUUUAAUGAAUUUCAAUGGAGAGACAUCAUCAUCAUCAUCAUCAACAUUGUUAUUUUUAUUGCCUUUGCUUCUUCCUCCACCAUCAGUACCACACCACCACACUAACAUCACCACCAACACCAUCAUACUAUCACAGCUACCACCAACAGUCUACUACCAUUUCAGCCAUUGCCACAAAUACCAUUGCCACCACUACCACCCCCUAAAUUCUUAAUAUCACUAUCACAAGCAUUUUCACUACCAUCAUUGCCACCAAUUUUACCACUGCCACUACUAGCACCAUAGCUAUUACCACUACCACUAUCCCCUCCAGUAUCCCUACCAUUAAUUUUGUUACAACUACCAUCGCCACUACCAUCAGUUCAAACUGUUUUCUCUUCCCCCUUGUAUCAUUGAGUUAGAUGAAGUAGGGGUUGAGGUAGGAGUAAGUGUUAAUCUCAGUGAUUAAAAUAUUGCUUAAAAGACCGAAAAACAUAAUUAAAAAUGUUCCUUCAUAAAUUUAUGGGGCAUUUGUUCUGUGUUUUGCAUGGGUUGGAUAAAGCUACAAAGUAAACUCCAUACAGUGAUGAGAGUUUCUUUAAGAAUUCCAUAAGCUUAGUUGCCAUGAGGACUGAAAAAAUUAAUGUUUUUGGCUUCUGCUUUUCAUUUCUCAAAUAAGGAAGAAAGAGAGACAGAGAGAAGGAGAGAAUGAUGUUGAUAUUCCAAGCUGGCAGCUGCGAGGUGGCAGAAUCAUUAGCAUCCUGGACAAAAUGCUUAAAAUGCCUAACAGCGUUUUGUCUGCCUACAUUCUGAGUUGAAAUUCCACAGAGGUUGACUUUGUCUUCCUCCCUUUUGGGGUCAAUAGAAUAAGUACCAGUUGAGCACUGGGGUCAGUGUAAUCUACUAGUCCCCCUACUAGUAGGAUGGAUAUGCCAGGCUAGUAAUUAAUAAAAGGAUUGAAAUAAUUUUUUUCAUUGUUUACCAUCCUGUCAUGUCUGUCUGUCUUCCCCAGAAAGAAGACAGGAGUCCCAAAUGUUACAUUCUUCACCUUUUAUGGCAAUCAAACUUAUUAAAAGCUUCUGUAAACUCUACAUUUAAAUUAACAUUGACCAUUAGAUUCCUCAUUUUGCUCUAUGCAGCUUUCUCCAGUUUUAUUUCAUCGUACAAUAAGCAUUUAUAUUCUAAUAGAAUGGCAAUUACAAAACAUUAAAAAAAUACUCUUAUUUUUAAUUGUUUUUAUGCAAUUUUUAUUUAUUGAUUCCUUAUAUAAGCAUAAGACUGGUAAUUUGUAGUAUAUAUGUAUAACACACCACCUGAUUUUAGCACCAACAUCUGGCCCUUUUUAACACUUGAGUUGAAUUUACUCCAUUGUGGCAUUUGGUUUAGACCUCUGGUUCCCUUGCCACUUAUGAUCUUUAUCACGUGCAGAUAUUUAGGCUGUGUAUCAACUAUAUCAAUCUCACUAGUCUGGAAGGACCUGUAAAAGUCAUGAGUACUACCUCUCUUCACAUAAUUAAUAUAUAAGCCAAUUCAUAAAAAAUGUUACGGUGCCUUGAUCAAAAUUUGAACUCAGAACAUAGAGAACAUAGAGUGAUAAAACUAAGUAUGAAAAAGUAUUCAGUUUUAUAGUCAACUAUUUCACUAAGACUCCUUCUCUCUUCUACACACAAAUAUACACUCUCCUAUGUGCAUAUACAAACUUUAAUUUCAUUGAGUGACCAUUGAUUAGUUACUGCUAUUUUAUUUGAUUAUUGCAGGUAUACUUAAGCGUCUUUUGGCAGAAUGAACAACUUGGUGUUGCCUGCUAUGAUGUAGAUACAACUGAAAUUCGGAUGAUGUUCGACACACAGGAGACUGAUAACUUUUUGACAUUGCUCUCAGGUAAUUUCUCAAUUUCAAUUUGUAUCUGUUGUUUCUCUUUCACUAUUUCUCAUUCAUUUCCUCCCAUAUUGGUUUCAAAUUUUGGCAUAAGGCCAGCAGGUUUGGGACGGGACAAAGUUGAUUAAAUUGACCCCAGUGUUCAACUGGUACUUAAUUCAAUCGACCCCAAAAGGAUGAAAGGCAAUUCAACCCUGGUAGAAUUUGAACUCAGAACAUAAAGACAGACAACAUGCUGCUAAGCAUUUUGUCUGGUGUGCUUAUGAUUCUGCCAGCUUGCCUCCUCAAAUCACUUCUCCUAUAUUAGCAUAAGUGUGGUUGCUUUUACAAAUCUGGACUGUUUUGCUGGAUAUGUAAUAUUAAUGUGCAUGAAUGCCAGAAUGCAAAAGAGAGAAAAACUCAGUAUAAGAGGAACCAGACAUAAUGUACAACAGAGAAGACUAUGGGCACAUGGUACAUAUUAGUGAAUAUCAGCCAUAGAGCAAAGUACCAAAUGCUCCAAGAGAAUAAAACUUGGAUCAGUAAGUCCUGUAUAAUCACUCUCUCUUGGCUAUGUGUUUGAGAAGCUUGUUUUCCAACCACAUGCCCACUCUGUGGCACAUUGGACAAAUGUUUUCUACUAAAGCUCCAAGCCAAUCAAAGCCUUGUGAGUGGAUUUGGUAGACGGAAACUAAAGGAAGCUUGUUGUAUAUAUGUAUGUUUGUGCAUAUGUUCUUGUGUAUACCCUUGUCUAGACUUUACGUGAUGGUUGUAUAUACAUCAUUUUCAUACAACAAAGUUCAUUUACAGCAUUCUGUGAAAAACUUCAUCUUGCUAUGGGAAAAUAAUUAACUUGCUUGGAAACAGGUGAGAGUUGGUAACAGGAAGGGCAUCCAGUGGUAGAAAGUAUACCCAAUAAAUUCUAUCCAACCCAUGCAAGCAUGGAAAUGUGGAUGUUAAAACAAUGUUGAUGAUGCCUCAACGUGUGUUGGCUGAGCUCUUUUUGUCCUACACUCUAUUAAUUCUGGUUUACCUCAGAACUCAGUUUGUUUUGUUUUUCAUUUUCUUCCUUCUAUACUUCAAAGAUCAACUCUUGAUCAUAUCCAACAAUGCUUGUACUUAUGUAGAUGAUACUUCCCGUUACACGUCCUUAACUUUUCCCAACCAUGCAUUAUCCACAUGCAACCUAGAUAUCACAUGCACUGAUUCCGUGAACAGAGACCUCAAAACAUCAUCAAAAUAACAUAAUUGCAAAAUAACUUAAUUACUAGUAGCAUGCAAUUAGAGCUUUUGAAAUUGCUCCAAAUGUUAGUUUUGUUACCAUUGGAAACUUUUCCUGACAAAAGCACAUCCUUAAUAAAGCAAAGACUACAUCUCAGAGACUGGCCCUUAUUUUCAUUGCCAGAAAGUACUUCAGACCCCCAUCAAUUACUGACACUCUUUAAAGCUCAAAUGAGGUUCACAAUGGAAUAUUGCUCUCACACCUGGCAUGGGGCUGCUGUUGAACUCACACAGAGAUUCUAGAUUGUAUCCUAAUGUAUCACUAUUACUAUAAUCGCCAAUAUUAGCACCAUCCUUACCACUACCACCAGCUUCCCUACUGGUACAACUACUAACAUCAUGAUUGUAACCACUAUCAAAGCUACUUGACAGUUUGACAUGAAAUCACUUACUGAUACUCUUUAGCUUCUGGCCCACAAGCAUUCUGUCUCCUUUUUCUGCAUUUUCUACUGAAACUAUAAUGGCCAUUGCUCUUCAGACCAAGCUGUUCUCAUGUUACAUCCAUUCAGGCAUUCAUAGAUGUCUUAUGUCCUCUCCUUUCAUCAACCAUGUUGUACUCAGUACUCCGGCUCCUGCAUUAACCACUACACCCAAUCCUUCCUCCCCUAAUCUUCAUCUAUCUGGAAUCCCCUUCCUGCUCCUAUCAUUCCUGCAGGUGUUGACUUUCAACAGUUUAAGCAGAACAUUAAUGGCAUCAGUGUCUUUAGUUUCAGAUAGUCUGCGAAGAUCAUGAACACUGCUUUUCCCUCUACAGCCAGCAAGUGAAAAAUACAAAAAAAAUCUCUAUCUCUUACUGUUUCAAAUGUCUCUGUCUAUUGUGUGAAUAAGUCACAAGUAUAAAUUGAAUCUGUUUUCACCUACACAGUAUCACUAUCGUCUGAUAUCAGGUAAUUCUAGUAUAAAGAAGUGGACAUAAAUAUAUUUAUCCUGAAGUUAAAUUGAUUCCUUUUAAAGGUUAAUCUUUAUUACGCAUGCAUCAAUUGUACCUGAGAAUAUAAGCAUGGUCGUAUUGACAAUGUAAGUAGAAGAUCUGUGAUUUAGUACUGGUUAUAAUCUUGCAGACUUGAAGUGAUUAUAAAGUAUCUGAAUUACACAAAUGACAAUGUACAACAGUGAAAUGGAAACAGUGAAGGUUAGAAUGCUUUGGGCAACACUUGAAGAAUGAAUUGGCUCUGAUGCUGCCAAUGUACUAUGUGAAAUAGCAGUGUGUGAAUGCAGUUGUUGAAUUACAAAAAUGAUUAGGUUAGCCUCUGUGUGUGUGAUAUCAGAUUUUCAAUCUCUUCAUGCCAUCUUUGUUGUCACCUUACCCAAGCCUUUGCAUUCACAACUAUACCAAGUCCUGCCUCUCCAAAAUGUUAUCCCUCUGGAAUUCUCUCCUCAUCUCUCAGGGGUUUUUUUUCUACAACUAUCAUCUUUCAACUAUUGAGAUAACAUUAAUCACAUUUAUCUCAUUAGUGUUGAGGGGUGAGGUUGUAGAGGCCUUGAGUAUAGUCCCUUCCACCAGAUUAGAGGUAUUGAAAAUGGAAACAGAAAAAGAAAAGCAAAAAGAAAAAGCAGGAGUAUGAGUUGACUUGGGAAGACAAGGAAUAAAGUAGCUUGGUAAAUUUAAAAUACUUAGGUUUACUGGUGAGAAAAUGCAGAAUAAGGAUCGCUGUUGGGUUAGUUUCUGGUAACUUUCUGUACACCCUAAAUGACUUUCAACUUAGGUUUGGAACUUAAACCUGCUAUUGAAUAGGGAUUCAGUUGUUGAAAGGUAGAGAUAGUGAGAUAUACUCUGGAUCUACAUGUCACAUAAAUCCUUGCCAUAUUCAAUACACUGACAUCACUGAAAGAAAUAUCAAAGCACUUGUUCAAAUAAGAUUUGAUGAUGAAUAAACAAGAAGAUGGGUCCUAUUGCAUUUGACACUUCAACAGGGUAUUAAUGGAGAAAAUAAACAGGUUGACUGACUAUAUUAGUCUGUAGUAUACUAUUUAAAAGGUUAUAGAAUUUCAGGGAAGGCUAACUUAUCCUUAUGAUUAUUAGAAUUAGAAACCCUAAUGAAUUGGAAUUGGAAUUAUAAAUCCUAAUGAUUAUUAGAAUUAGAUUAUUAGAUCAAUGCCUCAAAAGUGGUGUAACUGUAUUAAUUUCUGUUCUCAUCUGUUCUGGAAAAAAAAGUGCACAACUCAUUAAAGUGAUUAGCAUUAGGAAUGGCAUCCAGCAGUAAAAACCAUGUCAGUGCAGACAGCAGAGCUUGGUGCAGUUGUCUGGCUCACUAGUACCUCUCAAGCCAUCCGAUCCAUACCAGCAUGGAAGAUGGAUGCUAAAUGAAGGUGGUAGUGGUAGUGGGUGGUGGGCUGCUGCUGCUGCCUUUCUUGUUGUUUGAGGUUUGAUAAAAAUAAAUGGAAAACCCAGAAUGAAUUAUUUAAUCUGAUUCUGUUCUCCCACUGUAUGAAGUAAACCGAUAGAAUCAAACGAACCCUACAUUACACCUAGUUUAAAAUAGGAAUUGAUAGGAUAGGACUACUAGAAAUUGAAACCGUUAUUCUGUUGCUACAAAACAACUAAAACCUAUAUAUUAUAUCAGCUAACUAAUUAAUUUAUUACAAAGAGAAAGAAUUAACAUAGAAAUAUAUAUAUAAAUCAAUAAAAAUGACAUCUUUGAAAACACUUUCAAGUCUUUGAAGAUGGUGCUUUUCAACAUUGGAAGGACUAAGAUGCCAAAUUCAUUGGUACUUAAGAAAGUUAUAUAUAUAUAGCUAAUUAUUAAUGACUUUUCACACUGGCACUAGGCCAUAACACCAAGGAGGAGUUUUAAUCAAUUGUAUUGACCUCUAUAUAUAUUUGGUAUUCGUUUUAUCUGGUUCUUUACAUCCUCGGUUCAAAUCUCACAGUGGCCUACUUUAUUUUCCAUCCUUUUUGAAUUAAUGAAAUAAGUAACAGUCAAGUAAUGAGGUCAUUGGGAUUGAUUGGCCCCCACCUCCCCUUCAAAUUAAUGACCUUGUGCCAAAAUGUGAAACCAUUUUAUUGACUCUGGAUUUUUGUUACUAACCCGGCCAAAACCGGCUCUGGCUCUGUGGUAAAAUAUCUUGUUUUCAUAAGUUUUGAAUUAAAAUCUUCCACCAAACCUUAGACACAAUUUAUGUUCCUAAUACAAGCUGAAUGAUAACUAAGUUAUUUUACUAAAUUCUUUGUUAUAUUUAAAAUGAUUGAAAGAAACACAGAGUAUCUCAAAAUAAAUACAGUAAUGAAAGGGUUAACUUUGUUAUUAAUUUGUGGUUCAAAAGUUUACUGUGCAACUAUGUGACCUGGGUUUGAUCUUGUUGCAAAGUAUCUUGAGCAAGUGUAAUCUAUCAUAGCUUCACAUCGCAAGUAAAAUUUCAUAGACAAAAACUGUGGAAGCCCAUUAUUAUCAUUUUACAUCUAUAUUCCAUAUGAUAUGGGUCGGAGAGCUUGAGAGGAGCUAGGAAGCCAGAGGAGUGUGCCAUCCCCAAUUAUCUGCUUUGGCACAGUUUCUCUAGCUGGAUGCCUUUCCUAACACCCAUAUGUACGUGUAUGUGCAUAUCUUUUGGUGAAAAAUCUAAAGAACUGUUAGAAAACCUACAAACCAGUAUAUUUGAACAAGGCUCCUUGUGGCAUUUCUUUCAGUUGAGUUUGUGCAGAUAAUCCAUUGUCAUUAUCACCAUUGUAAAUCCAGUGAACCAGUGAUUGAUUCAGAGGAAACCUGUAACCAACAACACUAUUGUUCUUAAAAUGUGUCAUGAAAAAAUAAUAAACAAGAGCACUCAGAGAGUGCAAACCUCUGCCAAGGCAACACCAAUGUCCCCUCAACGAUUAGCCACAGAUUAUUUUUUAAAUGAGAAUAUCUGAAAUAAACUUGAUUGCUCUCACAAAUGAGAAUACUAAAAAUGAACCUGACCACUCUCAAAAAUUAAGGAAAAAAUAGGAAAAAUAAUCCAGAACCCUUGUCCAGCACCAGAUUGAUCCCAAAAUCUAAUCAGUUUGUGCCAGUCAUGAGACCAAACAUCCCUGAAAGUUUCAUCCAAAUCCAUCCAGCAGUUCUUGAGAUAUCUUGUCCACGGACAAACAAACACGACUGACUCUGCCUUCGCUAAGGUGGAGGUAAUAAGAUGUGGGCAUGGCUGUGUGGUUAAAACCUUGCUUUGCAGCCACACAGAUUAUGUUUCCAUCCCAGUGCUUGGUUGAGUGUCUUAUACUAUAGCCCUGAGCCAAAUUCAGCUUGUGAGCGAAUUUCAUGAACAGAAACUGUAUGGAAACCAAUCGUAUUUGUGUUUGUGUGUGUCUUUGUGUAUUUGUUUGCUUCCCUCUCACCACUUGAUAAUUGGUGUUUGUUUGUUUACAUCCUUGCAACUUAGUGGGUUUAGCAAAAGAAACCUCAGGAUUAAGUAUCAGACUUUUUAAAAAAUAAGUGCUGGGGUCAAUUUGUUAAACUAAACCCUUCAGCGUGGUGUCCAAAUAUAACUGUAGUCUAAUGACUGAAACAGUUCAAAAGUGACAUCAGGAAGGGCAUCAGACUGCAGAAACCAAACCAAAACAGACCAUGGAACCUGGUGCAGCUCCUGACCUUGCCAGCUCCUGUCAAACCAUCCAAUCAAUGCCAGCAUUGAAAAUGGAUUUCGUUGAUGCUGUGUACAUAAAAUGCUACAUCAGCAAAUUAACUACACUGUUAUUAUUGGGUUGUCCGGAAAGUUUGUGCCGAUUUAUAGUAGCUUACCUUUCGACUUAUUUUAGAACAUGGUUGAGUUCAUAAAAUAGGAUUUGACUACACCUCCAUUUAGAGCGCAGUUUGAGCUAUCUUUUCGUGAAAGAAGGUUUAUGUUCCUAUAACCUGUGUUAAUUCUGUAAUGCUUAAAAAUGGAAGAUAAGAAAGUUCAUUUUCGGCACUUGAUGCUUUGGGAACCAGACAAAAAUUGCUGCAGCUUGGCUGGGAUGUGUUACCCCACCCGCCAUAUUCACCAGAUAUUGCUCCUUCGGAUUUCCACUUAUUCAGGUCUUUGCAGAAUAGUCUUAAUGGUAAAAAUUUCAAUUCCUUGGAUGACGUAAAAAGAUACCUUGAAUUCUUUGCCAUGAAACCACCUCAAUUCUGGGAAGAGGGUAUUUUCAAGUUAAAGGAAAGAUGGAGACGCAUUGUGCAACAAAAUGGUUCAUAUUUGGUUGAUUAAAAAUGUAAUGGCAAGUAUUUAUUGACCUUUUUCUUUCCUUUAAAAACCGGCACGAACUUUCCGGACAACCCAAUAUUUUUCUCUUCUCUCUUUCUCCAGUUAUUGCUCAGGUUCAACCCACCUACGUAAUACUUAGUGCUAAACAAGAUGAAAGGAUUUUGAAAGUUUUGCAAAACUUUGGUAAGUACCAUUGAGCAGCAUGAUUUUCUUGUAAAAUAUUUUAUCAUAUUUUAUAUAUUUACUGUAAAUUUUAGAACCUACCUUUGUCAUUGUUGAACAAUUAUUUUACCCAGAUUUGCAUGCACAAGCCUGAGGAAGGUUUAUUUUGUGGAAGACUGGAAACAAACAACACUGCUUGUAUGAUGGUGAUGCUUGUUUACAAUCAUCACGUGAUACUAAGUCAAGCGUACUCUCAAACACACACACACACUGGAAAAUUAAGAUAAACACAUAAGUGCAGGCUUAGCUGUGUGGUAAGAAGCUUGCUUCCCAACCACAUGGUUCUAAGUUCAGUCCUACUACAUGGAACCAUGGGCAAGUGUCGUCUACUAUAGCAUCAGGCCAACUGGAUAAUGAUAAGCUACAUGGAGCUUUAACUCAGCAGCUUUAGUCAUACAUCUAAUUGUACACACAAUAUGUGUGUGUGUGUGUAUGUACGAGUGGUUGGCGUUAGGAAGGGCAUCCAGCCGUAGAAACACUGCCAGAUCUGACUGGGCCUGACGAAGCCUUCCAGCUUCACAGACCCCAGUUGACCCGUCCAACCCAUGCUAGCAUGGAAAGCGGACGCUAAAUGAUGAUGAUGAUGAUGAUGAUAUAUAUACAUAUAUAUAUGAUGGCUGCCCCUCAUUAUCAAGUAUGGCCAUUGCAUGAAGCUUAACUGUUAUUGGUGCUGUGAUCGAAUGUGACUUUUUAGCCCAGCUAAAGAUCUACAAUGUCUUGUACUGAAUUGCUGUUAUAUAUAUAAUAUUAUAUAUAUAAUGUACUGUUACUGGCAAUAGCCGUCUGUGGUUGUAACUGGGCUUCAUGUACCCUUGCAUGUCGUUUAAGUCCUCCUGUCGAAUUACACUCCCUUCCACAUGCCCAACAGAUAUGAUUAGUAUGGUGUGUAACACCACCACCAGUGACCAGGUUGUCACUCAUCUGUCUCGCUAUAUGACUACAAUGAUGACUCUUGAGUCCAGCUUUACUGAGGCAGGGUCUUGCACAGACACUGCAUGUCAGCAUCAUAGGAAGACCCUUCCCAUCUGGAAGUGUAACAGCGAUGCACUUCCUGACAUCCCUCCUUACUUUCUCAUGCACAACUUGAGAUUUCUCAAAAGUAGCUGUCCCCUCGUUCACAAUCCUUCUCCACCUGCUACGAUCAAUAGCUAUGCCCUCCCAUGUGUCAGGAGAGAUGCAAGCAUCUCUUAAGGAAGCCUUCAGAAAGUCCUUAUAUCUCUUUUUUGGUUUUUUGUGGAGGUCAUUCUCCUUUAGCUAACUCUCCAUAAAAGAGUUGUUUUGGCAUCCUUGAAUCCUUCAUUCUGACCAGAUGACCACUCCAUCUGAGCCUUUGCUUUAACACAAGAGCUUCUAUACUUUCACACCGAGAGCCUUCCAAUAUUUCAAGAUCACUGAUGUGGUCCUCCCACUUAAUACCAUAGAUCCGUCUGAGACACAUCUGAUGGAAACAUUCCAGUUGUUUAAGGUGGUAUCGAUAUGCGACCCAUGUCUCGCAGGCAUAGAGAAGAGAAUAUGUAUAUAUAUAAUCAUUGUUUAAUGUCUGUUUUCCAUGCUGGUAUAGGUUGAACUGUUUGACUGGGGACUGUCAAGCCAGGAGGCUGGCAUUGACCACAUAUGGAUGGUGCUUUUUAUGUGCCACUAGCAUGGGGACCCAGUCAGGCAACUCUGGAAAUAAUGAACCACGCAUGGAUAUAUAUAUAUAUAUAUAUAUAUAUAUAUAUAUAUAUAUAUUCACAUAUAUAUGUAUGUAUGUACGUGUGUGUAUGAUGGGCUCCUUCCAGUUUCCAUUGAUUGAUGUCCACUAUUUUAAAUCCAGGUUUGUCCCCGUUAAUGGGGAUGGCUGAAUCUACCUCACUCUAACAACAACCACUCUCACACCAUCUCGUCCAGUUUUAGGCAUCAUCCCUCCUCAAGCCAACCCUCCCAAUCUUCUCCUCCAUGUUUUCUUUAGUUGACCUUACUUUCAAGGUUCCAUCUAUCGAAUCCACUCAUAAGGUUUUGGUUGGCUCAGGGCUAUAGUAGAAGUCAUUUACCCAAAGUGCUACUGAGUGGGAUUGAGACCAUAAGCCUCUCAACUUCACAGCCUUACCCAUGCCUUUGUUGUCCAAAGAAAAACCCUCCAUUUUGAGCCAAUGCAGCUUAGCACCAAAAGCACUGUAUGUGUUGCUUUCAAAACACAAAGGUCCAGAACAGAGACCCCAGUGUAUUUGGUGUAACAAUUCCACCAAUCCAUUAUUCUUGAUAGGUAUUUUUUUCAUAUCAAUUCCAAGGGGUCCUUGAUGGAAUUCACACUUGAGGUCGUUGCCAGUGCCGCUGGACUGGUUCCUGUGCAGGUGACACGUAAAAGACACCACUUGAGCAUGGCCGUUGCCAGUACUGCCUGACUGGCCCUUGUGCCGGUGGCACAUAAAAGCACCCACUACAGUCUUGGAGUGGUUGAUGUUAGGAAGGGCAUCCAGCUGUAGAAACUCUGCCAGAUCAAACUGGAACCUGGUGCAGCCAUCUGGUUCAAGAGUCCUCAGUCAAAUCGUCCAACCCAUGCUAGCAUGGAAAGCAGACGUUAAACGAUGAUGAUGAAGAUGACCACAAGGCAUUCUUUCCAUCUCUAGCAAUUAUUCUGCCAAUUUACCACUUUUAUUGUAAAAUAAUUCCAGACUUCAGCACAAAUUUGAGACAUAAGUAAGUUUAACAUUUGUUUAAUUUAGAGUGUGUUGACCCAGGUGACCAGAUUUGGUUUGCAAAAAUCAAUAUUGUAUUUGUCUUAUUAUUUUCCAUGGCAAACUGGUAGAAUUGUUAGCGUGACAGACAAAAUACUGCAUGACAUUUCUUUUGGCUUUGCAUUCUCAGUCUAAAUUCCACCAAGGUCAACUUUAACUUUUGUCCUUUAGGGUUUGAUAAAAUAAGUGCCACUUUAGCGCUGGGGUCGAUGUAAUUGACUAGCCUCCUCCCCUCAAAUUUCGAGCCUUGUUUCUAUGGUAAAAAGUUUAUCUUACUUUGCAAAACUGAGAUCUUACGCAAAUUUUUUCUUUUAUCCUUCCUUCAAAUUUUUUUAUGUCAAGAAUAUUUUAGAAAACAGCUUAGUCUAAGACAAUGGUUCCCAACCAGGGGUUUACCCCCUAGAGUCUCUGAAGGAAUGGGUAGGUGAAGUCUUUUUUUUGGAAUGGCAUACGUGAACUUAGCAAGUAUGUUUCCUCUUAUAAGCUAGUUUUUAUUUCUUUGAUUUUUGGAUUUUGGAUUUUUUCUAUAUUUUAAAAUCAUGCUUUAAUUUUAACAUGUUUUUAUCAAGAAUAAAAUAAUAAAUUCGUGUUCAUUUAAUUUUAUAUUUCAGUCACUUUUAUUUAAUUUUUUUUCUUGAUUUACUUGUUUACUUUUAUAAUUUUAACAAGUUUAUUUUAUUCUUUCUUUUAUUAAAUUUUCUGUCUAUAUGAUUGUUACAUUUGCAAAUUUUUUACUUGCUUAAUAAAACCAGUCAAAACAUGCAUUUUCAGUUUUUCUCAUUUUUUCUUAUGAUUUAAAAAGAAUUCUCAAUUGAAAAUGAGAGAUAUAGAUAAUGGUAGUGAGAGAGAAGCAGUGAUGGUAGAAUUUCAAAAUUUUUGGAACCAGUGGCCUAAGACCAUUAAUUUUGUGAUUUCCCAAUUAGUUUCAAUAUUCAGUUCUUGUGUACAACUGUUCAUCUACAUUUUAUUCUCAAAUUCUUUUGCCUUCUCAAUUUAUCAAUUUGUCUUUCACCUUUGUCUUUUACUUGUUUCAGUCUUUAGACUGUGGCCAUGCUUGAGCACUGCCUUGAAGGUUUUAGUUGAACAAAUUGAGUCCAGUACUUAUGUUUUGUUUUAUAUUCGUCUUUCUUACCUAAUUGCUAAGUCAUGGUAAUGUAAACAAACCAACACUUGUUGUCAACGGUGACAGGGAACAAACACCCUCCCCCACAUAUGUGUGUGUGUAUAUAUAUAUAUAUAUAUAUAUAUACAUCGGGCUUCUUUUAGUUUCCAUCUAUCAAAUCUAUUCACAAGGGUUUGGUUAACCUGAGGUUAUUAAUAGAAGACACUCAACCAGAGUACCAUACAGUGGCAUAUAUGUUUGUGUGUCCUGGGGUUAAUUUGUUUGACUAAAUCCUUCAAUGUGGUGCCCCAGCAUGGCUGCAGUCCAAUGACUGGAACAAGUAAAGAUAAAAAAGUACAAGUUUUUUUUUUUGUGUUGGUUUUUAUCUACCAACUUCACUCACAAGGAUUGACUCAGCCCAGGGCUAUAGUAGAAGAUAGUUGCCCAAGGUGCUGUGCAGUGGGACUGUACCCAGAACCAUGAGGUUGCAAAGUGCACUUCUUAACCACACAGCCAUGCCUGCACUUAUGUAAAGUGCAAAAAUAUUUUUAUAUGUUCUUCAUUUGAGAAUCCAUUAUUGUCAACUUUAAUUUUGUUAUGCAAGGUUGAAUAUUUUCCAGGGUAGAAAUCUGUCUCUUCCUCACUAAUGAAGAGGUUAGUAUAUUGUAUCCUAUUGUAUUCCCUGACUAUUUUGUAAGUUAAUCAGGAGAGAUGGGGGUAGUGCCUAUGAUCUUUGUAGGCCCUUCCAUGCAGGUAAGAUUGCAACUCAUGCACAGUAUAUCUACAAGUACAAUGCAGGUGGGGGAGGAAAUUGAAUGCAGGGCAGGGUUGUCUGGACCAAAUGCUUGCAACAUUGAAUAUUGCCAGAGUUUUUAAAGGAAUAAGCAGUAGAGUUAAACCAGAUACCAUGUUACACUUACUUCCCAUCCUUUUAAAAUAGUGGGGAACAAAUGGACCAUGGUGUGUGUGUGUUUGUGUUUGUGUAUUCGGCACUGCUCUUCCACAUUAGAUUCACCAUUUAAAGAGGGCUUUACAUGCUUCUCUAUAUAAAGUAAAUUUGUAGAAAUAGGGUGUCUGUUACUUUGAGUUACAACACAACUGUGCUGAAAUAUGAACUCAUGACCAGGGUGCCAGUAGAUUAAUAUGUCAUCUGAAAAUAACUACCAUGUUUCUCUGUGUUAAAUUUUUAUGUUUGCUCAACAUACCAGCUUUGACCAUCCCAUCUUCUUUUCUGAACUCUGCUAAAAGUGUUAAUGUUUUAUUGACUUGGCUGCUAAUUCAAGCUGAUGGAAUGACUGCAAAGAGACUUCUUUUGUCUUGUGACUUCUUUUUUGCCUCAGAUUCUUUCAUUAUUUUUAGACUCUCUCUUUCUCUCUCUUUGUCUUGUGACUCUUUCUUUGUCCUAUAACUCUUUCUCUGUCUUGUGAUUCCUUCUUUGUCACAUGACUCCUCCCAUGUUUCGUGAUUCUUUCCCAGUCUUGAAACUCCUUCUUUGUCUUAGGAUUCCAUUGAAAUCUGAUUUUGUUUCUCUUGUGACUCUUCCAUUGUCUUAGACUCCUUUACCGUCUCGUAACUUCUUCAGUCACUCAGUCACACCCAUACAGUUCACCAUUGCAUGUCAGAGUGUGCAGUGCGGUCUCAACUAAACAAUAGUUAUGGUAUAUUUAGAACAAUAGAUCUAUGGUAAUACUUAGUCAUAUGACUGACAAUCUGCUUGUACCAUGUGACUAUUCCAUCAGAGGUGGCCUGGUGCUCCACAACAGCACCAACCCGCUGUGAGUUCUUGUUAGACAUGAUUUCAAGCACUUUUACUUUAUAAACUCUCUUCUCAGCUAUUUCUUCUUGUACUGUUAGAAUAAUUCGUAGCCUUCCAAAAUUUCUGAUCCUAUAUUAUUAUCUGCAUUUAAAAUCACUUGGGUCACAUGUUUUUCCUCUCAUCACUUUUAUUGUGUCUCAUUCUCUGGAAUCCCUAUUUUGUUUAUAUUUCCCCUCAAAACAACCAGUUUGAAACAAAUUUGACCACCAAACAUGAUGACUUCUUCAAUCAAGAACUCAUUACUGUCAAUUCUAAUUUUGUUAUGCAAGAUCAAAUAUUGUCCAGAAUAGGAGGCCACCCUUUCCUCCUUAAUGAAGGGUCUUGUUUGUUGCAUCCCUUUGAAUUCUGUAACUGUUCUGUAAGUUAAUUAACAGAGAUAGGGAUAGUGCCUAUGAUUUUUGAAGCUCUUCCCUAGCUGGCGAGAUUGCAGCUAAUGUGCAGAAUAUCUGGAAGUAAAACAUGGGUUGGGAGGGAACUGAAUGCAGGGCAGGGCUGUCUGGUUCAAGUGCUUGUGACAGAGUGAAUUUUGCUCAAGUCUUUAAAGGACCUGAUGGUAAUGUUAAACCAGAUGGCUUGUCAGACUUUCUUCCCACCCUUCUAAAAUAGAGAAAUAAAAAGACUAUGGUGUGUGUGUAUUAGGCACUGUUCUCUCUGUCCAGACAGACCCAAAACAGCUAUAAGACUCAGUUCUUUCUUCAAUUCAUUAAGAAUAAUUAUACACAUUGCUUUGCUUAUCAGUUUAACUAAUUAAAAAUAGCUAAAGGCACUCUCCUUUUUCUUUCUUUGUCAAAUUAAUUAAUUAAAAAAGUGUCAUAAACAUUGCCCUGCUUCUUCAGAUUAACUAGCUGCACUGGAAUUAAUUCAUUAAUAAGACUGAAAGCAUUAUUCUUCCUAGUCAGAAUAAUUAGUUAAUUAAAAAGGGUCAAGUGCUCUACCCUUCCUCAUCAAAUUAACUUAGUAAAAAGAAAUGGCUAUAAUUUAUUGUUCUUCUAUUAUACUAAUUAAAUCACACUUCAGUCUUUUACCUGUUUUAGAUGAUAAACUUCUGUGCUUCUUUAGUACUAUAUGUUUAUAUGAGAUGCUUUCUCAAGACAAAUAGUGCAGUUUUGUGGCUUUCUGUAGUAUAUCUACAUUAAGUAAGGUAUAUAAAAUGCUGUUCUGAACUAAUACUGCUUCCAUCGCUCAUAACAAAUAUAUUAUAUCUAUUUAACCACAGCACACAAACCACUUGAAGCUGUUCCUGAGAAAGAUCUAGAUUAUAUCAAAUUCCUACCCAGUAUUGACUUCUGUAAGUAGC
rnacentral:lncRNA from 1 species